AUCGAUCACGGCCAACUUUCUCCAUCGGUUGCUCACUGUAUAAAAGCAUCGAGCAGCCUAAUCUCUCGUUCUCAUCUUGCACCGUCACACACACACACGCACACACACCGAGAUACAAAUGCAGCUGCCGGCCGGCCGGCGUGCCAUGGCCAUGUGAUCAAGCAUGCUUGCGGCGGCGCCGGUGCAUUCGCCGGGAUGGAUCUGAGGCGGUGGCCGAUCGUUCUGCCCCGCGGUACCGCCGGGGCAAAUCCGAGACGACACUCUGCAUGCCGUCGGGUCCUGCAGAUUCAGGCAUGCACGCAGAUGCAGGAGCUAGCAGGUGCAUGCAUGGUUGCUGCUCCAGCUAGCUGAUUUUUUCAAUCCCCUACAGGGCAAUUUCGAACCUUUGGCAAUUCUCUUGGACAUCAAUACAAGUAGUUUCAUUCAUGGCCGGUUGGAUCGACUAGCUAGUUAUUAGGUUAUACGUACUACACAUGAGGAUUAACUGGUGUAUGGAAUAAAAAUACUGUGAGUUGUCUGUGAACGGUUGCCCUGAGCAGCGUGGGCUGCGGACAGCUGGACAGCUGGGUUGUGUGGCGUUGUUGUUCGAGGAGAGCGGUGGUAUGUCGGGGCGGUGGUCCCAGAAGACUAUGUCGGUUGAUUGUGCUGGGCGCGAUGGAGCGGUGGAUGUCGGGACGGCGGCCCCGAGAAUCACUAGGGCGUCCAGACUUGAGUGGCAAUGAUGAUGGUGGGAGCAAUGUCGGUGGCGCGGUAAUGGUUGCGGUGGUCAGUUCUUCUUCGGCGUGUCCACGUUAUUGCCUCGAAUUGUUUGUUGCUGUGGAGUCGAAGCUGUGGUGCCGAGGCCCUGCGGUAUAUGAUGACUUGCUGCAGGUAGCCCGUUCAGCGAUCUUCCGUGGCGCCAGCCAUGCCUGGUUUUGGCCUUCAGACUUUUUCGUCAGAGUCGGAGUUGCGUUGUCUGGGGUAGAUCGACGUGUCGUCGAUAUGGGGUGCUUUGGCAUGUGUACUUCAGUCUAUGGGAAUGGGUUUGGCCUUAACUGUCCCGGCUUUCGCCUUGUUUUCGUAAUUAAUGUCAGCCGGCGACAGCAACGUUGGACUGAAUUCUGCUGGAGAGAGAGGUGUUUUGCGUUGCGAAAACUUGCAACUUUUCUUGCUGUUCUUCAUUGGUAUAUAAGCUACUGAAUACAGAAGGGAAAACGGGGAUCGAUCCGAGCUUUGCGGCGUGCCAUCCCACGCCCGCUCGCCUCUCCCACGAUGGCGCCAUGCUCGCAUGUAAUCUCGCCAUCCCACGAUGCGCGCACGGCGGAGCUACUGGCCCGUCUAACUAAGCGGGCAAGCUAACUAACCAGCUAACUAACCUAGCUACAACUGCGGAUCAGCCGCACAAACAAGCUCGUGCAGCUGCCGGUUUAUUCUGACUGAAGUUUGACCUGACGACUAGAACGGGUGCAGGUUUACAGAGACAACAAAUCCCCCCUUAAACCUGACGCCCUGAUGAAAACUCCAUGACUCCAAGCUUGAGCCUCAUCUCCACGAAUCUUGUGCGGCCCAAUGCCUUGGUAAGAACGUCGGCGAGCUGGCCGUUGGUUCCGAUGUGCUCAACGUCCACCUUGCCUUCACCCACCUUCACGCGAAUAUAGUGAUAGCGAGUGUCGAUGUGUUUGCUCCGCUCGUGAUGAACUGGGUUCUUGCAGAGCUCGAUUGCAGACAUGUUGUCUAUCCGCAGCUUCACCGUUGUCGGGGGUUUGCCGAUCAGCUCGCAGAGGAGUUGGCUCAGCCAUACCCCCUGACACGCUGCUGUUGCCGCUGCGAUGUACUCCGCCUCGCAAGACGAGAGCGCGACGACCUUCUGCUUCUGCGACGUCCAUGUGAUGAUGCCUGAAUUGAGGAAGAAGACAUACCCAGUUGUGCUCUUUCGGUCGUCGAGGUCACCAGCGUGAUCGCUGUCACUGAACCCUGUCAGAACAGGAUCCGGUGUCCUCCCCUUCAGGUAGCAGCACCCGAAGCUUGUCGUUCCACUGACGUAGUGCAGAAGAUGCUUCACGGCCGCCCAGUGUACCAUUGUGGGAGUCUCCAUGUACCUGCUCACCAUCCCAACGGCGUGAGUGAUGUCGGGCCUGGUGUUGCAGAGGUACCGGAGACUCCCGACGAUGCUCCGGUAGCGCGUGGUGUCAACAGCAUCAGCAGGGUUCCCUUUGCACAGCUUCGGUCGUGCUUCCAUCGGCGUGUGGCAAGGGUUGCAGCCAGCCAUGCCGGCUGCCUCCAGGAUCUUCACGCCAUAAGAACUUUGGCAGAUGGUGAUCUCACCUCCCUCUUGCUUCACUUCCAGCCCGAGGUAGUAGCUCAGCAGGCCGAGAUCGCUCACGUCGAACAGGUGGUGCAUUUGUUCCUUGAACGCUGCGAUCUCCUACUCGCAGGUGCCCGUGAUGAUCAGGUCGUCGACGUAGACGCCGACGAUGAGCAUCGCCUUGCCGUUGCUUCUCUUGUACACAUCGUGUUCGAGUGGGCUCCGCUCGAAACCAAGCGAGACGAGGGAUUCGUCCAGCUUUGCAUUCCAUGCCCGUGGUGCCUGACGAAGCCCAUAGAGUGCCUUUCGCAGCCGCAGUACCUUGUUCUCGUUGCCGACGCUGACGUACCCUGGUGGCUGGUGCACGUAGACCUCCUCCAUGAGGUCGUCGUUGAGGAACGCGGACUUCACGUCCAUAUGAUACACCCGCCACUCACGGUGGGCAGCCACCGCGAGCAGCAGCCGCACGGUCUCCAUCCUUGCCACCGGCGCAAAAACCUCGUCGAAGUCUACCCCCUGUCGUUGGACAUAGCCUUUGGCGACGAGGCGCGCCUUGUGCUUGAUCACGUUGUCGUCUGGGUCCUUCUUGACCUUGAAGACCCAUUUGAGGCCUAUCGCGCGGUGACCGCGCGGGAGUGUGGCAAACUCCCACGUGUCGUUGCCGCGAAUAGACCCCAGCUCGUCGUCCAUGGCCUUGCUCCAGCGCUCCUCUGAGAGCGCUGCGUCCACGCUAACAGGCUCCUCUGCAGCGGCGAGACACAGCUCGCUUAGAUCGUAUGCAUCCGCCUCCGCUGCCAACACGAAGUCAUCAUACAGCUUGUUAGGCUGUACAAUGCCAUCACGUGCCCGCAUGAGCAUGGGGUGCAGCGGGGGCGGAGCAGUAGGAGCCGUCGCUGGGCGUGGUGCCGGAGUGUCUGUCGCUCCCGCGAUGGUGUCGGCGCUCGGCGGUGGCGAGGAGCGUCCCAUUGACGCGCCAUCGUCAGCGAAGGUGUUCCGUGUUGGUGCGGGCGUAGCUGGUUCAGGAGCCGAGAUCUCACCGCUCGUGCCCGAACCUACAGGGAAGGUGCUCGUGACUGGGUAGGAGAAGAGCUCGACGCAGAACAGGGCAGCCUCCUGUGCCCCCGCCAUCUCCUCCCAGUCCCAGCGCGUUCCUUCAUCGAAGACGGCAUCGCGUGUGACGUGCACGCGAUUUCCGACGGGGUCGAAGACGCGGUACGCCGCCGUCCCGGGCUCGUAGCCGAAGAACACCAUGGGUUUGCUCCUGUCCUCAAGCUUCGACAGGUGCGGCUUCGUUGUCUUGACAUGCACUACAACCCGAAUACACGCAGGUAGCUUACGUCGGGUUUAUAGCCGUGCCAUACCUCAAACGGCGUCCUACCGNNNNNNNNNNNNNNNNNNNNNNNNNNNNNNNNNNNNNNNNNNNNNNNNNNNNNNNNNNNNNNNNNNNNNNNNNNNNNNNNNNNNNNNNNNNNNNNNNNNNNNNNNNNNNNNNNNNNNNNNNNNNNNNNNNNNNNNNNNNNNNNNNNNNNNNNNNNNNNNNNNNNNNNNNNNNNNNNNNNNNNNNNNNNNCAGGUAGAUGGCGGUGGAGACCGCCUCCCCCCAGAAUCUGGCCGGCACCGCCAUGGCUUUCAUCAUGCUUCAUGCGGUGGCGAUGAUCGUCUGGUUGCGGCGCUCCACAACGCCGUUCUGUCGAGGUGAGUACGGCGCCGUGAGCUGCCGUCCCACGCCCUCGUCUGCGCAGUACGCCGCGAACGUAACCACCGUGAACUCUCCUCCUCGAUCCGUGCGGAGCAGGCGCAGUUUGCGCCCUGUUUCCACGUCUGUGCCGGCCUUGAACUGCUUGAUGGACGUCGCCGCCUGGUCUUUCAUCGUCAGAAGCGUGAGCCACAUAUAGCGGCUCAGAUCAUCGACCAGCAAAAGGAAGUAGCGGCGUCCUCCUGGCGUCUCUGGCAUGAUCGGCCCGCAUAGGUCGCCAUGCACCAGGUCGAGCUUCUUCGCCUGCUGUGGGAAAGACGCACAGCGUUGCUUCCCAGCGAGGCAGCCGUCGCAGAGCUGCCCGGCGUGGUCGAUCGUGGGCAGCCCUCGCACCAUGUUCCCCCGCGUGAGCUUCUGGAGUGCGUCAAAGUUGAGGUGGCCGUAACGCUCGUGCCACCUCCAGGAUUCGUCACCGCGAACUGCUGCAAGGCAGAACGGCUUGGCGAUGACGAGCAUGACGAUGUACAGCCGAUUGUGCGCCCUGGGCACCGUGGCGAGGAGGCGGUCGCGCCGAUCACGGAGCUUCAGAUACCCGCCGCGGAUCGUGAUCUUGCAACCGCUUUCCUCGAGCUGCCCGAGACUGAUGAUGCUGCUCCGAAGGCGAAUGGAUGUGGUAGACGUCGGCGAGGGCGACGUGAUCACCGUUGGCGCAGGCGAAAAGCACAGUCCCGCGCCCCUUUAUCUCCACCAGCGAUCCGUCCCCGAACUUCACCGUGCCCGUGACGGUGGUGUCCAGGUCCGAGAAGGCAGAGAGGUGCCCCGUCAUGUGGUUGCUCGCCCCUGUGUCGAGGAACCAGGCGUCGUCACGGCGCGGGUCAUUGGCGAGGAGGGCGUGCUCGACCGCCUGCUCAGCAUGCAUGCCGCCCCCGUCCGUUUGCGUCGUUGGCGCAUUCACUUACGCCAUCAUCAAUGAUGGUCCGUCGUCGUCGCUGAUGUUGCAGGUGCGGAUGAGGAGGGCAGCCUUCUCCUCUUCGCCGGCCUGGACGAGGUGUGCUUGUGGUCGUGGCUGCUGCUGUUGUUGCCCUUUGCGUUCUCGCCGUGGCUCCUUGCAGUCUCGUGCGAUGUGCCCUGCAAAUUUGUUGCAGUUGUAGCACUUGACCUGCGACAUAUCGCGGUCAGAGCUACCUUGUCGUUCUGCUGCUUGCCUCGACCCUUCCUGCCGCUUCCGCCGUCGGAGUUGGAGCCCUGCUCCUUCAUCCUUUUUCCGCGUGCGAUCCAUUCCUCCUCCGUGAGGAGAAGCUGGGAUCCCAUUCCCUCCGAUGAGCCGCCCCCGUAACGCUUUUCAGCGGAGGUGAGACGGCCGAUCAGCUCCUCCACAGACAGCUCCUCGAGGUCGAGCAGCGUUUCGAUCGAGCAGGCUAUGUGUGAGUAUUUAGGGGGGACUGCAUUGAGGAUUUUUUCGAUGAUUUUUACCUCCUCAACUUUGUCCCCCAGGGACUGCAGAUUGUUGGCGACGUUCGUGGCGCGGAUGGCGAAGCUGUCGAGCGUCUCGCCGUCUUUGAACGCAAGCGCUUCGAACUCCCUGCGGAGGCGUUGUGCCGUCGCAUUUCGCGCGCGGUGCACCCCCAUCUUCAUCAGUUUGACAGCCUCCCACGCCUCAGCGGAGGUGGUCUUGGAGGCGAGGAUAGGCACCAGCUUCGGUGGCACUGCACGGAUCAGUGCCGACAGGGCCGCCAUAUCCUCGCGAUCUCCCGGCUCUCCCAUGCCAGACAUGGCCUCCCAGAGACCUUGCGCGCGCAGGUUGAUUUUCAUCACCUGCGCCCACUCGAUGUAGUUUGUCGACGUCAGUGUGGGGUAGACGAUGUGGGAGCUUGCGCCGGCGUUGCGGAUCGCGCGCUCGUGGACGACGACCUCGUUGCCGCCCCUGCGAAUCACGCUCCUGCCGCGUGGUCGCGCUGCCGACAGUGGUGACCGCGACAUCGUUGGCGACUUGCGCCCCCUUGCUCCACUGCCUCUCCGUCCUUGUUGCCGCCAGCCAUGGCGCCCUCGAACACUAGCUCUGAUGCCACUUGUCUACCGGCGACAGCAACGUUGGACUNNNNNNNNNNNNNNNNNNNNNNNNNNNNNNNNNNNNNNNNNNNNNNNNNNNNNNNNNNNNNNNNNNNNNNNNNNNNNNNNNNNNNNNNNNNNNNNNNNNNAGAGACUUGCCGGUAACGAGAUUGAAAUAAGUAUGCGGAUACCGACGAUCAAAUCUCGGGCAAGUAACAUACCGAAGGACAAAGGGAAUGACAUACGGGAUUAUAUGAAUCCUUGACACUGAGGUUCAACCGAUAAGAUCUUUUGAGAAUAUGUAGGAUCCAAUAUGGGCAUCCAGGUCCCUCUAUUGGAUAUUGACCGAGGAGUGUCUCGGGUCAUGUCUACAUAGUUCUCGAACCCGCAGGGUCUGCACACACUUAAGGUUCGGUGAUGUUUCGGUAUAGUUGAGUUAUAGGUGUUGGUAACCGAAAGUUGUUCGGAGUCCCAGAUGAGAUCCUGGACGUCACGAGGAGCUCCGGAAUGGUCCGGAGGUAAAUAUUGAUAUAUAGGAAGUCCUGUUUUGGUCACCGAAAAAGUUUCGGGCUCAUCAGUAGUGUACCGGGAGUGCCGGGAGGGGUGCCGGGGAGCAUCGGGAGGGGUGUCACGGCCCAAGGGGUCUUAUGGGCUAUGGGAAGAGAUAAACGAGUCCCUAGUGGGCUGGAAUAAGUUCCCACUAAGGCCCAUAAGGUUUGAGAAGGAAAUACACAAGGUGGAAAGAGUUUCUAAGUGGGAAGGUGGAAUCCUACUCCAAGUAGGAUUGGAGUAGGACUCCUCCACCUCCAAUUUCGGCCAAACCUUGAGGGUUUGAGGCUGCCUCCUCCCCUCCCUCCCUCCUAUAUAUACUAGAGGUAUUGAGGGUUUUUGAGACACAACUUUGCCAUGUGCUACUCGACCCCACACCACGCAGUUUUUCCUCUAGAUCGUAUUUCUGCGGAGCUUAGGCGAAGCCCUGCCGGAGUAGAUCAUCACCACCACCGGCGCGCCUUCACGCUGCCGGAGAACUCUUCUACCUCUCCGCCCCUCUUGCUGGAUCAAGAAGGUGGAGAUCGUCAUCGAGCUGUACGUGUGCUGAACGCGGAGGUGCCGCCCGUUCGGCACUAGAUCGGAACGGAUCGUGAGACGGAUCGCAAGAUGGUUUGUGCGACGGAUCGCGAGACGAUUCGUGGGAUGGAUCGCGUGACGGUUCGUGGGACGGAUCGCGGGACGGUUCAUGGGACGGUUCGUGUGGCUGAUCAAGGGACGUGAAGACGUUCCACUACAUCAACCGCGUUUCUUAAGUGCUUCCUGCUGUGCGAUCUACAAGGGUACAUAGAUCCAAAUCUCCUCUCGUAUAUGGACAUCACCAUGAUAGGUCUUCGUGUGCGUAGGAAGUUUUUUUUCCCCAUGCAACGUUCUCCAACAAAAAGUUCUUUGAAAUGUGCAUCCAAUGGCAUACUUUAUAUGAAAUAUGACUCGCAUUUUCUUUAUAAAAUUAAUGAUCAAAGUUAGACAUAAAAAUAUGAAGUGACUUUGUCUUAGUAGGGAGAAGGACUACAAAACAUUGUCCAUAAUCAUAUGUAGGUGUGGCGUUACCUCACUUUUAUGAGAAGACCAUGCAAAGUUGUAAUGCAAAAGAAUAGAAAGUUUCAACCAUCUCAAUAGAUGGAGGAAACUAACCUAAAGUUGAUUUGGGGGCCCUACCGGGGCUGACCGAAUAUCCCCUAUGUUGCAACACAAUUAAAUACCACGCCUAGAAAGUUGUUCAAACUUUGUGUAAAUUCAAGUGUCCAACGAACGCCGCCGAACCGCUUUUUGAACACAACUUAAUCAACCCUUAAUCCAUAUUCACAAUACUCACGUUGUUACCUUCUACAUAUAAAUAGAUAGCCUCGAACUUUGAUUUAACUACCAAAAAUAAGUUAUAUACCACAAAAAUAUUGUCAUUGAACACCUCUUUCGAAUACGAAUCCAACAAUAUAUGUUUUGUGAACUACAAGUUAUAUAUAUUUUAGUUAAAACAACGGUCAAAAUUUAUCACACAAUACGAAGGGGUCAAUAAACCAGGAUGGGAGCAAUAUUCUACAAUUAUAUAAUAAUCAAACAUAGUAAAUCAUAUGUGUAGGUACCAUAUCAUUUUUGUGUGUGUGUGGGGGGGGGGGGAAUAUUCUCAUUUCUUAAGGUGGCCUUUCAGCUGAGGCCUAGUUUACAAGGAAUUCCGUCCCUCCAACAAACCAAACAGCCGUACAGGGGGUACUACGGCCAUACGCAGCCAUCUCAUGGCUCGUGAUGUUCUGCGCAUGAUUACAUUUUAAGAAGACAAUCUCUCGAGCAUGGCGUUCAGCUAGGCUUCUAGUCUCAUGAACUAUAGACCGGAGAGGCGAUCUCUCCAUCGUGGUUGCAUUGUGCAUCGCCACCGCCUCCGUGCUUUUCAUAUCCAUGAUGAUAGGCAUCAUGGUCCUGUGGAGAGCAAGAGCUAAACCUUCUCUGCAAGCUAGGAGCUCCGCUUCGAGGGCACUAUCACAUGUGUGAAUGUGCCUACAAGCGCUAAAGAUGAUAUCCCCUCUAUCGUCAUGGAGGACCAUGGCGCCGCAUGCCGCUCCUGUGGAUGCAACAAAGCUGCCGUCCGUGUUAAGUUUGGCCCAACCCGUUGUAGGGGGACCAACCGGGCCGCUCUAGGGUCAACCUGCGGGACGUCUUCUGCGGUGGGUUAGUACAAACCACCAGCUUCCCCUUCUCCAUGUUGGUUGUCGGGUGCUGCUUGAUACAUAGCAAGGAGUUGAUAUAGCUCUAUAGGAACCGGCGAGAAGACUCAGCCAGUGGUGGGGGCUUGUGAUGAGUAAUAUCAUGCCGCACAUGCCACACCCACCACAUGGUCAUCCGAACCAUCGGUCUUGACAUCUCUUCCAGGAGUUCGAGUAGUGUGAAGAGCCACUCCGGAACUGUGUUCCGAAUGGACUCCACCUUGGAUAUGUUCCAGUCCAGCGUCAUGAGCCUCCAUAGUUCCUUCGCAGGAGGGCACCCGCAGAGCUCGUGGAAGCCGUCCUCGCGUUCAACACCACAUAGGGGACAAACAUUAGUCACCUCAAGAUGUCAUGAAACUUUGUUAUCCCAAGUAGCAAGAGAAUUUGCAAGGACCCUCCAUGCAAACACACAUACCUUUGAGGGAGAAGGGCACCCCCAUAUGAUCUUCCAGAUGGCGCGACGACCAUCCGGUGCCCUGCUCGUGGCGGUGGCCAAUAGACGUUCGCCCUCGUCGAUUGUCAGGCGGCAUGCCGAUCGAACUGUGAAGAUGUUGUUCUUUUCUGGUGCCCAAACGAUGAUAUCCUCUGGGAUGCAUGGUGAAGUCUUGAUAGAAGUGAUGAUGACUACAUUCACCGGCAAGAAGUGUCGCCGCAGUAUGGCCGUACACCAGGGACCAUCAGCAUCUAGAAGCUCAGCCACCCAUCGUAUAAGGUAGGUCCCCUGCUUAGUGAUGGGAAGGCAGGAUGGUUGACGUGGUAGCCGCCGAUCAAGCCCCACACGGACGUCCUGGCCAUUGCCGACCCACAAAAUGAUGCCCUUUUUCAGGAGCUCAAGGCCAUGUUGGAGAGCCUGGCAGGUCGAAGAGGCGUUCCGUUAGAACACUAUGUCCUCAAAGCAGCUGUCAUGGUAGUAUCAAGCCUUUAAUACAAUGCACAAAGACUGGUAGGUUUAGUAAGAAGGCACCAGGCCUGUCUCGCGAGGAGGGCCUCAUUAAAGAGGCAAAAGUCUGUGAACCCCAUGCCCCUGUUUCAUUUCUGAGCUAAUAUUUGGCCAAGCCAGCCAAUGUGUCUUCCUUUUCCCCUCCGAGGCACCCCACUAGAAGUUGUGAACCAUCCUAUUCAGGUCAUCGCACACAAACAUAGGGAGCUUGAAAAUGCCCAUGAUAUAAGUUGGAAUAGCAUGAGCAACUGCUUUGACAUAGUUUCCUUGCCAGCCAAGGAUAGGGUUUCCCCCAAGCAAUAAUCCUCUUGAGUAACCGAGAUUGUAGAUUUUGGAAUUUACCUCUCAUCAUGCGUCCUUUGGGCGAUCGGAGCCCAAGAUACUUCUCCUCCAAAGUGACAGUGACAAUGUUCGGACUUGUUCGCACCUCAUCUUGCUUGCCCAAGUCACAUGCCGAACCAAACAUAGCACUACAUUUGGCGGGGUUGAUGAAUUGUCCCGUGGCCUUAGCGUAUGUACUCAACACCUCCUUGACCUUGAGGGCUUCUUCCUCCUUGACCUUAAAGAAUAGUAGUGUAUCAUCGGAAAACAUUAGAUGCGACACACCUCGAGCUCUGCGGCACACUUUUAGCGGUGUGAGCUCGCCUUUUUCCUUGCUUUCUUUCAGUAGAGCGGAUAGCCUGUCGGCCACAAACAGAAAUAAGAACGGGGAUAGAGGAUCACCUUGAUGUAGCCCUCUCGACGGUGCGAAUAAUUCCAUUAAAUUUCACUGUAUAUCUCACCGAGGUGACACAAGCCAUAAUCCAGUCCGCCCAACGGUGAGUGAAACACAUCUUUAGCAUCAUUCGCUCCAAGAAGACCGAGUCCACCCUAUCAUAUGCUUUGGAUAGGUCCAGCUUGUACGCACAAAAUCACUUUCUUGGGUCCUUUUCGUGUUGAAUAGGGUGGAAGCACUCAAAAGCAAUCAGUGCAUUAUCAAUGAUCAUACCGCGAGGAACAAAAGCGCUCUGCUCCGGUGAAAUUAUGUCAUCCAGUAUAGGACUCACACACUUCACCAUACAUUUAGCCGCCACGUUGUAUAUGUCAUCACGUAGGCUGAUAGGGCGAAACUUCGCGAGUCGCUUGAGAUUAUCCACCUUUGGGAUGAGAACAAUAAAGGUGUUGUUCAUCCCCUCACGCAUAAUUCAUGUCCAAAAGAAUUAUUUAACCCCGUUUGUUACCAGGACUUUCAUGACAUCGCAAUUACACUGGAAGAAAAUGGCAUGGAAUCCAUGAGGGCCUGACACCUUUAGUGGCCCAAUGUAAAAUAGAGCAUCGACAAAUUCCUUAUCAGAGAAAUAUGGACAUAAACCAUCAUUCAUGUGGUCAGACACCUCGUGGUUAAUAAGAUUGAUUACUGGAUUCGCAUCGAGGGAAGGGUGAGCAACAAAGAUAUUAGCAAAGUAUGUUGUAGCCAUGCCCGUCAUGGAAUCAUGGUCCUGGUAUACAGCGCCAUCAUCAUAAACAAGGACUUUUAUGUGGUUUUUGUAUACCCUCCACACACCUUUCGAUGGAAGAACUUGGUAUUGCGGCCGCCUUCCCUUAACCAAGUGAUACGUGAUCGCUGCAUCCACAACAUCUGCUCUCUAUAUAUCAGUUCAUUCAUUCUAUCGGUCUCUUCUCAUAUCUCUUUCCUAUCUAUAUUCAUAGAAAUAAGCUCCUUGAGGCGAGAGCGAGAUUUGUUAAUAUCCUUAAUAACAUUACCAAAUUUUUUGUGGCUCCAUGCCCGCAACUCCUUGAUCACAUCCCCAAGACUAGAGGCAACAUCACCUAGGUGUAACAACCUACCCAGUUCAAUCCGGUCACUCAUUAUUACCUCACGGAGGGAGGAGUCCCGUUCCCAUAUGACCUCGUAUUGACGACAUCGUUUUUCUUCGAGAUGGCGUGGCUCCUCGGACGCACACUUGGAAGGAUGGCCAGGUGGUCGGAUGUCGGGGCCACCACUUGCUCCACCCUCGCAUGGGUGAACACGUCCUUUCAAGCGUUGUCAGCCACCGCCCGGUUGAGGCGAACCUUGACAUUGGUGCGGCCUCCACGACGAUUGUCAAAUGUAUAGGGGAGGCCUGCAAAUCCAAGAUCUCCCAGCCCAUAGACUUCAAGAACAUCUCGGAAAUCAAUCAUCUAACCUGUAGAGCGUGGUGUGUUGGAGAAGUGAUCAAAACUCCACAUCGCCUCGUUGAAGUCUCCCACUACCACCCAUGGCAUACAAGCCUGUUAAUGGAGAUUUCGUAGGAGAGCCCACAAGUGAGGAUGAUCCUCCAACGGAGGUUCGCCAUAGACGUAGGUAAGCCUCCACGGGGGCUCACCCAUCACUCCAAUAACGUAUGUAUCAAUAUAUUGUUCAUUUAUUUAUUUUACAUCUAGAAUGACUAACUCAACCAAGUACAGGGCAAGAACACCAAUACGACCAUUACAAUCAAAGACAUCAAAACCUCUCACACCUAAAUGAGCACACAAAUGCUUCAUUUUACUUUUUAGAUGCCUAGUUUCACAAAGAAAAAGAUACUAGGGGAAUGAGGUUGGGCUAAGCUCACAAGAUCGGGAGUUGUUUGAGGGUUCCUUCCCCCUCGGCAAUUCCAGCUUAGGAUAUUCAUUGCCCCUGACGGGGCUUCGUCGGCCCUGUCAAGCUUGUCGUCGGCCCGUGGGCCAACUGCCUCGUGUGUGUAAGACUUGUCCUCCAUGGCCUGGUCCAACAUCCCAUCUCCAAUUGUGUUCUUCUGCCAGCCCAGCAAUACGGGAUUCCUGCAUUUCCUUAGAGUGCCUGAAAUCACAGAAUCAUUAGGGUUUGUUGUGUUGAAGUAAACCAAUAGUGUUUGUCCACCACUGUCUCCUUCGGUACCAGCAACUUGGUUCUCUGCUGCUACAUGCUUUCCAAGGGUUGACACCUCCUCUACUAGGUAUGCGUCCUCCAUAUUGAUAUCUCGGGAUAGGUUACGUAUGGCAGGGAUCAUAUCUGAACUUCGAGGGAGUGAGUCCUGAGCUAUCUGCACGCCCACCUGAAGUUGUGUUGACAUCUGGACCUGGGGAGCAUUGCCGCCAGCUCCGGUAGUGGCAGUAUCUGCAAUGGUCCGAGGCAUCGCCUGCAUCUUUGCGGCAAGCAUCUUAUCAACGGCUAGGUUUUCAGUGCUGUGAUCAGGUUUCUCCUUUGGGCACUGCAACGAGCCCCUUUCUGACAUGUGCAUCCCUCUUCCGUCUCUUAGAUGGCCUGUAGAGCCUGUGCUUUCCUAGGAGAAAUCAAUACCCAUGUAGGUUGUCAGGUUAGCCUUGGCUUUAACAAUUCGAGUCUAUCUGCCGAAUCUCCAUGGCUAUGUGCAAGAGAGUUUGCCCCUGAAUUUGCCAAAUGGAGUGCCGCCUCUACCCCUUCUAUCACAUGAUUUCUGUUGGUGCCCGACAUAUCCGCAUGAGUAGCAAAUAUUUGACAGCUUUUUAUACUGGAUCUGGAACUCCAACUUCUUUCUCUACUCCUUCAACUUGACAAACAUAGCGACUAUAGUAUCGAGCGGGUGGUAGAAUGGAAUUACCACUCGAACACAGACAUAGUUGCUCAUAUCCCCAUCUAGCUUAGUUUGCGGGAUAGUACCCAGGUGGACACACAACUCACGAACCACGGCGUCGGACCUCCAAUUCAUGGGCACAUCCAGGAUACACACCCAAAUUCUCGUUGUGUUCAGAGUGUUGUCAGAAACUUUCCUCAUACCAUCGUACGCCUCAAUCAGCGGUGGAUCAUGCUCAUACUGCCAUGGCUCUCCACCGAGCACACGAGCCAUGUCUGACCCACAACCAAAGUGUACCAAAUACUUGUUGUCUCCCUGGUAAGCAUAGUCAAAGUCCCCCUUCAACCUCCAUCCACCGACGAUGUUCUCGAACAGAGUAAAAGGGGACGGUCGCACCAGGGAGUACACAAGCAUGAUCACAGUCCCGCGUUGACCUCAAGGUCCACCUCAACCAGCCCUGAGUCGCCCUAAAGGUCCUCCCUGAAGGAGGUUUCCUCGGGUACUUCUCUGUGCUUGUCCUUGCUUUCAUGCUCAGCCAGCGACGAUCAUGUCGUCCCUGCCGUACCUGCCAUUUUGAGAUGGUCCAAGACCACCAGCGUCUGCAUCCUCGGAUUGAUACGUGUGGCCACCUUAGGUCCCAUGGAGGUAGGCUACAGGCGAGCAUUAUCCACACAGGGAGCCCUGUAUGCACCCGCACCCACCACCAAGUUCACGUUGGAAGCCACCGACGACUUGCCCGAGUUCUGUGAGGUCGUCGACAUGCUGGCCCGUAACAGAUUAGUUUGGAGCGUAGGCUCUCUCUUGGGUGAAUUGCAAUGUACUCUCGCUGCCUCACCCGAACACUACAUGGGCUUUUGUAACCCAGCGAGGGAGAUUUCUUGCGUGAGGGGUUAGGGCACCUGGAGUCCCCCUCCCCUACGACAUGAAGACGGGCCAAAACGAGCCAUGCAAACCGAUUGGCGGAUGAGGCUGCAGUAGCUCCGAUGUCCUGCAUGGGAGUGAGGGUGGAGGGCUUGCCACACGUGGUCGGCAUGAUGACCGGCGGCGGUGGCGACGUGGCUUUCGCUAGAACGCCAAGGGAACGGAACCCUAAGCGCCAGAUGAUUUUGGUUUGACAUAACCAUUGUCUCUAAGGGCAUUAGUUACUGUAUCAUUGAUAUAAAUAUUCAUGUUCCACACAACCAAAUGUCAUUAAAACCUAGUGUGAAACAUAACAUCGUCGGACAAAGUCGGUCAACCUAGGAGCCAUGGUGGAUUAGGCAUUCUGGACAUUUCAACCCAUAAUCAAGCCCUUCUAAUGAAAUUCCUUCAUAAAUUUCUCAACAAAGAUAAGAUAGCUUGGGUCAAGAUCAUUUGGGAAGCCAACUACUCUAAAGCAACUCAUGGAGAUAGAAUUAUAGGCUCUUUCUCGUUGAAAGAUGUCCUCAAACUGAUGCAAAACUUCAAGCAGAUCACGCAUUGCAAAGCUGGAAAAGGUAACAGUAUUCUAUUAUGGUAUGAUACUUGGCAUAACAUUUGAAUGAGCCAAAAGUAACAUGAGAUAUUCACCCUUUCCAUUGGAAAGGAUAUCACAUUUCAGCAUAUGAUGGAACAAGCACUUGAGGAACACUUUCAUAGGUCACUAUCCAGCCAAGCCUUUUCCCAAUACUUGCAACUUCAAACUAAGCUCAAUAACAGACAACCUCAAAACUAGCAUGAUGCUUGGUACUUGCAAGGAAAAUCACCUCACUUCUCCUCCAUGAAAGUGUACAAUACCAUCAGUGGACCAACUUUCAAACUUCUGUGAUCUUGUUGUGUCAAACUUAGGGAUACAAUCUUUUGGCUUCUACUUCAUGACAUAGUCAAUACUAGAAAUUUGUUGAAGAGAAAGAACAUGCAUCUCCAUUCCUAUAACUGUGUAUUAUGCUCUGCCAAUGUGGAAGAAACCAUGGGACUACCCAUUUGCAUUGAAUUGUUGAUACCACCCUUAUUUCCCUAAUAAAAAUAAAGGGACAUUAAGUUAUCACGAGAUAUGCCUGAUGACUCAACUUAUUCCAAUUGAUAUUCCAUUAGACAUCAUUUUGAUGAGUUGCUGGACUAUCUGGUCAGUCGAAAAUGAUAAGAUUUUUCCCACCACCAUGGUUGGGUCUACUAUCUUAAAGAAGGACUAGCCGCAACAGAGAUCAGAGAAAAUCCAUCUAAAGCGCACAAGAUCAAGUCUUGGACUGAGCAAUAGAUUCCUUAAAUAUCAUCAUGUUUACAAUUUUUUUUUGAAAGGAGGCAAAAGACUUGACUCAUUCUCCAAUUAAGAGGGAAAAUGACUUUAAUGUUUUUGUUACAACACCCAUUGUGUUACAACACCUACAAAAGGCCUACUCUCGCGACAUGAUGGAUUCCAAUUUCUUUGCACCAGAAGUGACCCAAUUUUGAGCCUCGAUCUUGAUGUUAGCUAGUAUAACCGUCCGCCGGGCACUCUUGUGUUUGAAUAUGCGAGCAUUCCGUUCAUUCUAGAUUGUCCUAGAAGUGAGCAUGGAGAGGGUAGUCAUGGCCUUCCUUUUCGGUAUGGUAGAAUCGGAGAACACGAUCCACCACUCUUCAGUUAACCGUUACGAAACUAGCAUUGGCUGAAUGCAACUUUAUGUAAUUUUUGUAUCCCUUUGUACAUAUUUAUUUAUGGGAUUUUAUUCUUUUGCCCCUGGUUCCUUAGUUGUACUCAUUUUCCCCAUUCAUUAACUCUUUCCUCACUUUUCCCCAUGUCUUGGGUUUUUUUGCAUUCAUAUUUUCUUCACUUUCCCCCCAAAAAAAGUUGCUCAAAAAGGUUGCAAAAUGAGUGAAUUGGGACAAGUGAAUACAACUAAGGAACCAGGGGCAUAAGAAUAAAAAUUCCUUUAUUUAUUGUGUAAAACUACCGUAGAACUAUUGUCUUUGGCUCAAAAAAUACUGCAAAACAUUUCUACAAUAACGUUUGGGUAUCAUCUAAUUCUUACUUAUUGUUUAUUGUCGAUUGCACGCGGGGGCUAGACCUUUGUGGUGAGGCAGAUUGUGUUUUGAACAACACCAUUAAUCUUCAGGAGAUUGGUCUAGCAAUUAGUAAGACACACCAUUUAGUGUGUGGUAUAGUUGGGUCGUUAUGGUCGAUUUGUACCGAAAUGGAGCAAGUUCCUCGCAAAGAAAGAUCGGGUCACCCUUACCAAAUUCCUAUUUGUCUAACUACACGCUUUGAUGUUAGGGGACGUUUUUGUUUCUAGCAUACGUCCUUGGAAACUUUUUCAUUAGAUAAAAAAUUUAGUUGGGCCUAAUUUUUACAUUUUACUAAUUUCAUUGGUGUUAGCGCACAAUUGUACUGGAACAUCUCAUUAGGUAGAGAAUAAGUUAGCACCUGAUUUUCUUCUGUUAUAGAUAUUUCUUGAAAGUUAGUGCACAAAUUGUCGCGUCCUUGAUUGUUACUCCUAGGUUCCAAAUUAGCUGAACCAGGGAAGCUUAAUUUGGAACGAAGGAUUUGUUUUACAAGGAAAUACUCUUCCAUCAAGCUCUAUUUUCCAUGAUUGUGCCGAUUCAAUAAAUGUAGCUACCAUUGAGGCUAUUCUUUUAGCUAGGUUUCACUUAUUCAUGGGUAUUAGAUGACAUUUUCCAAGGCAUCGGCCAUUUUUCGUUGGAUUUAGAUUAUGUGCAGACUACUAAUCCUAUAUAUCUAAAUAGUUGAUCAACACUAUAUUUAUCUUAACACGCACAUAUGCCUCAUUACACAUGCCACACUCAAAGGUCCACGUGAACAUGUACGAGAAAAAUUGUUCCACUAGUUUAUUCCUACUAUUUAUAUUUAUCUUAAUAUGCACAUAGUCUACCACACCACACAUGUCACGUCAUUAAAGACUCACCACAACAUGCAUGGAUUUUUACCAUUAUAUUGCACUACUUAUAUUCAAUAAAUUAUAACAUAUAAUAUGUAGUUUUACUUUUAGUUCAUAUAUUACUAAUACUAAUACAUAUGUUUCUUACAAUUCAAAUUUAUUAAAAUAUAUUAGACCCAAUUUUUACCACAACACACGGGGUAUCAUAUAGUUUUCCAUGUUCUUAGAGAUUUAGCAUUUUUAGCACAUGUUUUAUAUUGUUGGGCAUCUAGAUGGUUAUUUCGUUUCAACAUAAUUUUCUUAUUUUCUACCAAUUUCAUGAGUUUUAUCACUCAUUCUUAUGGCCUCCUCCCUGCUACUCCUAUGGUUGUAAGUAACAUCAGUACCUACUCAUUGUAGCUUAGGUCUAUGAGUGUGGUAGAUUAGAGUAGAUCUGCACGUAGUAUGGUAGGUUGUGCACGUAUUGCUUCAUUAUGUUGUGUGAGGAGAUGGUAGAUCAGAUUGUAGUGGUACCAUUUUGGUAGUAUGGUAGGUUUUUCUUGUUGCCAGCGGUGAUGUUCAUUCUAUGGUGAUACAUGCACAUGUUUUCCGUGUCGUUUUAAUGCGACUAUGCUAGAUGUGGUAGUAUGUUGAGCUUGAUGUUUACUCCAUGUGUACUAUGGUAGAUGUCGUAGUGUGUUGAACUUCAUGAUCACUCCAUGCUAAUUUUCUAGAUGUGCUAGUGUGUUGACCUUGAUGAUCAAUCCAUGUGAACUAUGGUAUUGUGUUAGAUGCAUUAUUCUUGUUAAGCUAAUAUGAUGCUAACCCUCGUAGGAGAUGAACAUCGAAGACUUAAGGUAGGCCCUUGUUUUGUCAAAUACCGUGACCUUUCAUGCAUAUAUUGAAGACUCCCAACCAUUUCCUUCGGAUGCAGAGAUAUUUGAGGGUGUGUAGUAGACUUUUGGUGGUGGCGAUCCAUGCAGUAACUACUAUGGCGUCCAUUAAGGAUGGCAAUACACAGAUUAGGAGGCAAUGAAGAGGAAUGCAAUGAAAUAGUCUUCCUCUAUGUCCACCUUCAUGUGGAAAAGGAUGUGUGGUACAUCGCUAGUGAGUUUGUUGGGAUGGAAGUGGACCAAAAGACGCUCUGACUUAGGACAUGUCUGAGCCAGAACUAUUAUGUGUAGUGCAGGGAUCUCUAGUGAUGGUGGAAUGCAUCAUGAUGAUGUAUAUUUUUGGUAGCUAGAGCAUUAAAAUUCUUGAUCGACUAUAUAUAUUUUGUUGAGGUGGUAUAUACUAACCCCUCAGAUGAUGAUGCUGAACUCGAGGUGGUUUUGUAGUGAUAGGAUGACACCAUAGUAGAUGGGAUGAAUGUGUGAUGCUUUUGGGUAUAUUAAUCAUGCAUGGUAUGUUGGUUUGUUAUAUAUGUUUUGUCAACUUGUGUUGCUUGUUCUUCUUGGUGAACUUUUGUACCUAUAUAUUGGUAGAUGAAGUGGCAUGUGGUGUACUCAGGAUGUUUCAGGAGUCUACACCUCGUGGUAGGCAUAAUAUGUCUACCAUGAACAAGUCAACUAUUAUAAUAAAAAUUGCUAUAGAGGGUUUAAGACUAGAGAGUAGGCGGAGGAUGAUUACUCCAAGUUUUCCAUCACAUAUAAGAGCAAGCAUGGAGUAUAAAAGGGUGUAGUUUAUAUCAUGUUAAGUAGGCUGAAGAACUUUAGAAUCCUUGUCCAUUUUCUGCCAUUGUAGUUUUGUUGUUCUCUUGUGAUCGUAUGUAACAAGCAAUGAUAACACUCAUUCGGAUGAUAGAUAGUAAGCUCACCACAUUGGGCUACAAGGUAACUACAUCAAGCCUAACAUAUGCAACCAAACACAAACUUAGUGCAUGAGCACAACCACAAAUCACGAAACAUGGACAACCUAACACUGGGAACAAAGUUGAUGCCCUCAUCCAUCACAGGCUUGUUGGAAAUAUGCCCUAGAGGCAAUAAUAUAGUGGUUAUUACCAUAUUUCCUUGUUCAUGAUACUCGGUUAUUAUCCAUGAAUUGUAUUGACCAAAAACUUAAAUACAUGUGUGGACAUAUAAACAACACAGUGUCCCUAGUGAGCCUCUACUAGACUAGCUCGUAUAUCAAACAUAGUUAAGGUUUCCUGACCAUAGACACGAGUUGUCAUUUGAUAACAUGAUCACAUCAUAAGGAGAAUAAUGUGACGGACAAGACCCAAAUGUAAGCAUAGCAUUUGAUUGUAUUACUUAGUUUGUUGCUACUGCUUUCUUCGUGUCAAGUAUUUGUUCCUAAGACCAUGAGAUCAUGCAACUCCCUGACACCGGAGUAAGCUGCCCUUUGUGUAUAAAAUGUCAUUUUGUAACUGGAUGAUCAUAAAUGUGCUCUAAGGUAUUUCCGAGGGUGUCUGUUGGGUUGGCAUGAACCGAGACUGGGAUUUGUCACUCCGUUUGAUGGAGAGGUAUCUCUCAGCCCUCUCGGUAAUACGACAUCACAAGAAGCUUGAAAGCAAUGUGACUAAGGAGUUGGUCACGGGAUCUUGUAUUAUGGAACGAGUAAAGAGACUUGCCAUUAAGGAGAUUGAACUAGGGAACUGCAUACGGGAUUGGUUGAAUCCUUGGCAUCGUGGUUCGAUCGAUGGAGGUCUUCGUGAAAUAUGUAGGAACCAAUAUGGGCAUCCAGGUCCCGCUAUUGGUUAUUGACCAGAGAGGUGUCUCGUUCAUGUGUACAUGAUUCUUGAACCCGUAGGGUCCGCACGCUUAACGUUCGGUGACGCGAGAGUAGUUUUGGGAUAUUCAUGUUGGUGACCGAAUGUUUUUGGGAGUCCCAAAUGAGAUCCAGAAUGUCAUGAGGAGUUCCGGAAUGGUCCGGAAGUAAAGAUUUAUAUAUGGUAAGUCCUAUUUUGGUCACCGGAAAAGUUUCGGGCAUUACCUAUAAUGUAUCGGGUGUCGUAAGGGUUUCGAGGGUCCACUGAGUGGGUCCACCUACCCCAUGGGUCCGCAUGAGCUGUAGGGAUGGCGCCCUAGCCAACCUAAGCCGUGAGAACCAGCCCGUAUAGGUGCAUGUGGCUUGGUGGGAAGAGUCCCAAAGGCACAAGGCACCCCGAAGGUGCCUUGGAGGAGGGGGACUCCUUCCUUCCUUGUGGAGGGAGGACUCCUCCCUAGUCGUCGACCCUCCUUUGAGGAGAGGCCAACGUUGCGCCCCAAACCUACCCCUUGCCUCCUAUAUAUCGUAGAGGAGAGGGGGAGGGUUAGACACAACAACCCCAUGCCCUAGUGGCAGCCCUCUCCCUCCCGUUACCCUGUUCCUCCGCUGAUCAGUUUUUCAUUAGUGUUUGGCGAAGCCCUGCUGAAACCUACAUCACCACCACGCAUGCAUGCUGGUCGUGAUCCCAUCUACUUCUCCUCCAGUGCUUGAUGGAUCAAGAAGUAGGAUAUGUCAUCAAGCCGCACGUGUGUGCUGAACGCGGAGGUGUCGUCCGUUCGAUGGUGAAUCAUGAUUGAACCGUGAAGAGUACGAAUUCAUAAACCACUUUGUAUACCCUUCCUCUUAAAGAUCUACGAUGGUACAUAGACACACUCUCCCCUCUCAUUGAUAUGCAUCUCUGGUGAUAGAUCUUGGGUGUUUGUAGGAAAAAAUUGUUUACCAUGCAACGUCCCCCCAUAGUUCCAUCAUGAGCUUGGUCUAUGCGUAGAUGAUAUGCACAAGUAGAACACAAAGUAUUUUUGGGUGCUGAUGUUCAGAUUUCUUACCUCCUUAGUCUUAUUUUGAUUUUCAGUGGUAUUGUGGGAUGAAGCGGCUCGGACCAACCUUACUUGUCCUCACACAAGAGACCGGUUCCACCAACUGACAUGCAACUUGUUUUGCAUAAAGGUGGCUGGCGGGUGUCUGUCUCUCCCACUUUUGUUUAGUCGGAUUCGAUAGAGGCAUGUCCUUGUAGAAGGUUAAAAGGCAACUUUCAUAUUACCAUUGUGGCUUUGCGUAGGUAAGAACGGUUCUUGCUAGUUGCCCUUAGCAGCCACGAAAACUUGCAACAACAAAUUAGAGGACGUCUAACUUGUUUUUGCACGACAUGUUGUGAUGUGAUAUGGCCAAGACAUGAUAUGAUAUAUGUGAUGUAUGAGAUGAGCAUGUUUUGUAAUAGUUAUCACGAAUUGCAUGUCUAUGAGUAUGACAACCAGCAUGGGCCAUUAGGUUGUCUUUAAUUUACUUAUGCCUUUUUCUUUACUUUAUUGCUAUGAGUUAGCAAUUGUUGUAGAAGCAGUAGUUGGCGCGAGAACCACAUGACGACAUGAUGAUGGAGAUCAUGGUGUCAUGGCGGUGACAAUGCAGAUCAUGCUGGUGCUUUGGAGAUGGAGAUCAAAAUAAGAAGAUGAUCAUGUUCAUAUCAUGCCACUUAUAUGAUCUGCAUGUGAUUUUUAUCCUUUUAUGCAUCUUAUUUUGCUUAGGACGUCGAUAGCAUUAUAAGAUGAUCCCUCACUAAAUUUCAAGAUAAAAUGGUGUGCUCCCCAAGUAUGCACCAUUGGGAAAGUUCGUUGUUUCGAAGCACCUCGUGAUGAUCGGGUCUGAUAGACUCUUCGUUCACAUACAACGGGUGUAAGCCAGUUUUGCACAUGAAGAAUACUUGGGUUAAACUUGACGAGCCUAACAUGUACAGACAUGGCCUCAGAACAUAGGAGACACAAAGGUUGAACAUGAGUCAUAUAGUAGAUAUGAUGAACAUGGAGAUGUUCACCAUUGAAAUCACCUCAUCUCACAUGAUGAUUGGACUUGGGUUGGUGGGUUUGGGUCAUGUCACACUUAGAAAAACCGAGGGAUGUUGAUUUGAGUCUGAGUUCAUUAGUAAUUUUAUUUCUUGAACAAAUUAUCAUGAACAUAGUCAAACUGUCUUUUCCAAUUAUGUUUUAGAUCAAUAGCUCGCACUAUAGACCCUAGUAUUUUGAUACGUUCCUAGAGAAAACUAAGUUUAAAGAUGAUGGUAGCAAUUAUGAGGACUAGGUCCGUGUUAUGAGGAUUGUCCUCAUUGCUGCAUAGAAGGCUUAUGUCCUUGAUGCAUUGCUCGGUGCGCCACCCCCUCAAGCGUCAUGUGUGGGUGUUUUGCACAUCUGACAUGCACGUUGUGAUGACUACUUGAUAGUUUAGUGUGUCAUGCUUUACGACUUAGAAUUGAGGCUCCAAAGACGUUUUGAAUGUCAUAAAGCAUACGAGAUGUUCCAAGAGAUGAAACUGAAAUUUGAGGCUCCUGCAGUGUUGAUAGGUAUGAGACCUCCGACAAGUUCUUUGCCUGCAAGAUGGAGGAGAAUAGCUCAAUCGGUGAGCAUGUGCUCACACUAUUUGUGUGCUACAAUCUCUUGAAUCAAGUGGGAUUUAAUCUUUCAGAUAAGAUAGAGAUUGACAGAGUUCUCCAAGUCACUGCCACCAAGCUACUAGAGCUUCAUAAUGAACUAUAACAUGCAAGGGGUGGAUAAGAUGAUCCCUAAGCUACUCGCAAUGUUUUACGCCAUGAAGGUAAAAAUCAAGAAGGAGCAUCAAGUGUUGAUGGUUAGUAAAACCACUAGUUUCAAGAUGGAAAAGGGCAAGAAGGCAAACUUUGAGAAUGACAAUCCAGUUGUUGCUCGAGUGAAGAAACUCAAGGUUGGACCCAAACCCGAGAUUGAGUGCUUCUGUUGUAAGAGGGAACAGUCACUCAAGCGGAGAGCCCUAGAUACUUGGUAGAUAGGAAGGCUAGCAACGUCAACAGAAGUAUAUAUGCUAUACAUGUUAUUGAUGUGUACCUCACCAGUGCUUGUAGUAGCCGUUGGGUAUUUGAUACCAGUUCAGUUGUUGAUAUUAGUAACUCGAUACAGGAGCAGUGGAAUAAACAAGACUAGCUAAGGACAAAGUGACAAUGCACGUUGGAAGUGUGCUCAAGGUUGACGCGAUCACCGUCGGCACACUCUCUCUACCUUCGGGAGUAGUAUUAAAUCUAAAAAAAUUAUUUGGUGCCUGCGUUGAGAAUGAACAUUAUAUUGAUCUUGCUUAUCGUGAUAUGAUUAUUCAUUUAACUCAGAAAAUAAUGGUUAUUCUGUUUACAUGAAUAAUAUCUUAAUGAUCAUGCACCCAAUGUGAAUGAUUUAUUGAAUCUCGAUCGUACUAAUACACAUGUUUAUAGUAUUGAUGCCAAAAGAUGCAAAGUUAAUGAUGCUAGUACCACAUACUUGUGGCGCUGCUGCUUAGGUCAUGUUGGUAUAAACCGCAUAAAGAAACUCCAUGUUGAUGGAUGUUUGGACUCAUUCAAUUUUGAAUCGACUGAGACAUGCGAACCAUGCCUCUUAGGCAAGAUGACUAAGACCCUGUUUUCUGGUAUGAUGGAGCGGGUAAGUGACUUAUUAGAAAGAAUACAUAUUGAUGUGUGCAGUUCGAUGACUGCUGAAGCAUCGGUGGAUAUCAUUAUUAUCUUACCUUCAUAGAUAAUUUCAGUAGAUACGAGUAUUUUACUUAAUGAAACAAAAGGCUGAAAUUUUGAAAAGUCCAAGAAAUUUCAGAGUGAAGGUGAAUAUCAUAGUGACAAGAAGAUAAAUUAUCUAUGAUAUGAUCGUGGAGGUGAAUAUCUGAGUUACGAGUUUGUCAUGCAGGACAAUGUGGAAAUUGUUUCNNNNNNNNNNNNNNNNNNNNNNNNNNNNNNNNNNNNNNNNNNNNNNNNNNNNNNNNNNNNNNNNNNNNNNNNNNNNNNNNNNNNNNNNNNNNNNNNNNNNNNNNNNNNNNNNNNNNNNNNNNNNNNNNNNNNNNNNNNNNNNNNNNNNNNNAUGUGGAAAUUGUUUCACAACUCACGCCACCUAGAACACGAUAGUGUGUCCCAACAUCAUAGUCGUACUCUAUUGUAUAUGGUGCGUUCUAUCACUAUUGGAAUUGAGAAAUUUGCCAUCUGCCAUGCCUUUGCCAUCUGCUGACACAUGGCAAAGAUCUUCUUUGCCGUCAGCAGACGGCAAAGAGGUUGCUGAUGGCAAAGGUUUUAUUUGCCGUCAGCCACCUCUUUGCCGUUCGCUGACGCAUGGCAAAGGGCUCGGAGGCGGACGACAAAGAAAACCCGGACGGCAAAGGGGGNAACCCCCGACGCUAGUGAUCCUCGACCCCCGACAACACUAACCCCCGACCACCGACACAACUAACCCCCGACCGCCGACGCCACCGACACCCGACACCACCGACCAUCGCCGCCACUAAGCCGACGGGGUCAUAAUUUUGUAAAUUAUGAGUUAGGUCACAUAUUUUCCGAUUAUGUUAAUUAUAAAAACAUCAUAUUUGUGUUGAUCGGGUGAAUUUCAAUGUGCAGUUGUUCGACGACCUCCACGUGCGUUGGACGAGCUCCGCCCUUGCGUUUGUUGGUGAGCACAAAUGACUUCUCCUCCUACCCCCUUAAUUUGCUCUGUCCCGGUCUUCGUGCCGAUGAAACUUGCUCCCUAUAGGUUUCUUCAAUCAUGAGUAUGCAUGACCAGUAUGCGUCUCCCGUUCGAAAGGGCGACAUCUAUAAAUAUGCAUUUCUUUGCAUAUUUAUAACCGCCAUCCUUUCGAAUUGUCCAACAUUAUCCAUGGACAGCCCGAGUAUGUGUAGAUUGGGUUUGUUUUCCCGUAUGAUGUGCUCCGGAUCCGAUGCGGAAUUUCGUCAGUGCCUCCCCUGUUGUUCUCCGGGUACACAUCCUCUCUGCUUAUUGCCAAGACAUGUAUCAGGAGAACAACGGGGAGGUGUUGCCGAAAUUCUGCGUCGCAUCUGGAGCAGAGCAUGGCAAAACGAACCCAGUCUACACAUACUCGGGUGGGAUUAGGACCUAUCUUUACCUAUUAGCGUGUAGGUUGCAUGGACGUAAUAAAAUUGACAAACUUGAUUAGCGUAUGAAUAUAGAUGAUGAAUUAUAUAUUUAUUUCUUGUGCCCCCAUAGGUAGCUAGGCAACAUGAGUGAUCGUGCUUGGAUGUACAUUGGUCACCCUAGUCAGAAAGACAUGACCCAUGAAUGGUUAACAAAAACCAGGGGGUUUGUGAGAGCCGAAUUUGCAAAUGGCCAGCAUAAAACAUGGUUCCCUUGUCCCAACUGCGACAAAUGGAAAAAGCAGACAGAGUUUGAAAUGGGUAAACACCUGCAGAAGUGGGGUUUUACGCCUAAUUAUACGGUGUGGACUUUUCAUGGUGAGUCUGACCAACGUGCUAGAGCUGAGGUGAUUCAUCGUCGCACCGACGAGCAUGGUACCGGGAUUGAAGACAUGGUGCAAGACUUUGAUGAUGCUCGUGAUUCGAACGAUGAGAUGGAGGAAUCUCCAAAGGCCUUCUAUGAAAUGCUGGAGUCUUCAAAACGUCCUCUCCACGAGCAGACUGAGCUUUGUCAGCUGGAUGCCAUCGCACAAGUAAUGGCUCUGAAGGCUCAAUUCAACCUAGGCAGAGAAUGCUACGACGCGAUGAUGACGAUAUUUGGACGCUUUCUACCCAAAGGCCAUGUACUGCCUGCAAACCUGUACCAGUCAGAGACAAUCCUCCGUGUACUUAAGAUGCCCAAUGAGAAGAUACAUGCAUGUGAGAAUGGAUGUGCCUUAUUUAGGCUUCAGUAUGUGGCCUUGAACUAUUGCCCCAUUUGCAAUUCUUCCAGGUAUAUUGUGGUAGACAACGGCAUGGGUGAGAAGAAUCAGACCAAAAUCCCCAUUAGUGUUCUCCGAUAUCUGCCAAUCGUACCAAGACUUCAACGUCUUUUCAUGGUCGAAGAGACGGCCAGACAGAUGACAUGGCACAAAUUGGGCAAAAGAACCGAACUAGAUGCGGAUGGGAACAAGAUGCUGGUACACACUUCAGAUGGUUUUGCGUGGGGGCACUUCGAUGCAUUACAUAAGGAUAAAUUGGAAGAUCCAAGGCAACCUAGAGUUGCCAUCAGCAUGGAUGGGUUCAAUCUGUAUGGUAUGACGGCAGCACAAUAUAGUUGUUGGCCUGUAUUUGUCAUUCCACUAAAUUUGCCACCCGGAGAGAUUAUGAAAAGAAAGAACAUAUUCCUGACGUUGAUAAUUCCAGGGCCCAACUAUCUAGGGAAGAAUAUGAAUGUGUACAUGCAACCGCUUAAGGAUGAGUGGCAAGAAGCCUGGGAUAAUGGGAUCAAGACCUACGACGGGGCUACGAAAACAAAUUUCAAAAUGCAUGUGUGGUACAUGUACUCGAUGCAUGAUUAUCCGGCGUUUGCGCUAUUCGCUGGCUGGUGUGUGCAUGGAAGGUUCCCGUGCACCACAUGCAAGGCAGCUCUUCAGUUCCGUUGGCUGCAGGCUGGUCGCAAGUAUUCUUGCUUCGACAUGCAUGGAAAAUUCCUGGAUCCUGACCAUAAGUUCAGAAAAGACAAGAAGAAUUUCAUCAAAGGUAGAGUUGUCAAAAACACUGCACCAGCUGUGUUGACAGGCCAACAGACCCUUGAUCAGUUAAACGCUCUCGAGCCUGAUCCUUUGCGUCCAGGAUACUUCAAAGGGUAUAAUACGGAACACGCCUGGACUCACAAGUCAUGCUUAUGGGAUCUCCCUUACUUCAAAGACCUCCUUUGCCCACACAACAUUGACGUGAUGCACACUGAAAAGAAUAUUGCGGAGGCCAUUUUUGGUACAUUGUUCGGCAUAGAGGGGAAGUCAAAAGAUAAUCCUAAGGCUAGAAUCGACCUGGAGGCUCUAUGUGAUAGACCGUUGCAAAACUUGCGACAAUGGAAAGGAAAGCAAAGCAUAGCGAAGCCAAAGGCAUGGUUCAAUCUUGAAAGGCCAGCUAUGAGGGAAAUUCUAUUGUGGGUGAAAAUGCGGUUGAUGUUCCCCGAUGGGUAUGCUGCGAAUCUAAAGAGGGGAGCGAGUCUUGAGAAAUUGAAAAUAUUUGGCCUCAAGAGUCAUGAUUGGCACAUAUGGAUUGAGCGGGUAAUGCCGGUGAUGUUGUGUGGCUUUAUCCGUGAGGAUGAAUGGCUAGUACUGGCAGAGCUGAGCUAUUUCUUCCGUUCUCUUUGUGCGAAAGAACUAUCGCCUGGCGUGCUAGAUGAAAUGGAAGAGUUGGCGCCGGAGUUGAUCUGCAAAUUAGAAAAGAUCUUUCCACCGGGCUUCUUUAAUCCAAUGCAACAUUUGAUUUUUCCUCUCCCGACCGUGGCAAGAAUGGGGGGCCCGUUCAAAAUAGAUGGUGCUACUCAACUGAGAGGAUGCAGAAGAUGCUUCGAGCUAAGUGUAAAAAUAAACGUAGAAUUGAAGCAUCGAUGGCCGAGGCAUUCAUUACUGAGGAGGCGGCAAACUUCGUGACAGCACACUACGAAGCCGAAAAUCAUCAUUUGCAUAACCCGAAGCCUCGGUACAGUGAUGGCGCUCGAGAAAAAGUUCGAUCCAACCUCAGCCUAUUCAAAGGUAAGCUCGCACCAUCCGGUGCUUCGAAAGGGAAAUCGUUGGAUGUCGAAGAAUAGCGGACCAUUUCAUUGUAUAUCUUCACCAACCUAACAGAAGUGCGGCCGUACAUCGAGUAAGUUCUCGGUAAUUUAUUGUUCCGCAACUUCUAAUUGCUUUGAACUACUCUUAUUCCCGGAUAUUUGAUAUAUUCGAUACAUCGCCGAAUUCUCGGAUGGAGCGGUCAUCGAAAAGGAUUCCGUCGAAGAGUAUGAGCUUCUCGCAAAGCAUGGAGGUGACUAUCCCGGUUUCAUAUCUUGGUUCAACCAAAGGGUAAUUUAUUACCAUUAAGGGCCCAUUUGAUUUAUUGGUCUAAUUUGCGGCUAAUGCAUCCAUUCUUUCGUAUUAAACUUGUAGGCUGAUGCAGAGUCUAUGGACGCCGAGUUGAGACAAGUCGCUAAUGGUUUUGACUAUAAGGUCCGUUCAUUUGACAAAUACAACAUCAACGGGUAUCACUUUCGUACCUUUGGCAAAGAGCUAUCUAUGCCCGACCUAAAGACUACAAAUUGUUCUGUCUGUGCUAUCGGCGAAGGAGACACCGAGUAUUAUGGAAGAGUUGAAGCAAUUUAUGAACUUCUAUUCUAUGGUGAAAACCCACCGACCGUCGUAGUCUUCAAAUGUUAUUGGUUUGAGCCGAAGGAGACUAGAAGGACUCAUGAACAUAUAGGAUUAGUCGAAAUCAACCAAAACACCCACUUAGAUGUUCCCGAUGUCUAUAUUACGGCUCAACAGGCGACACAAGUUUUCUAUCUACCGUGGGCCUGCCAAACUGAUCCAAAUCUCAAAGGUUGGGAUGUCGUUUAUGAAGUGCCACCACAUUUUAGACCACCUACCCUCAAUGAAGAGGAUUACGAACCUUACAUCAACCCAGAUACAUAUGAAGGAGAAUUCUUCCAAGAAACACGUAUGUCCAAGAAACGUUUCAAGAACCGCUCNNNNNNNNNNNNNNNNNNNNNNNNNNNNNNNNNNNNNNNNNNNNNNNNNNNNNNNNNNNNNNNNNNNNNNNNNNNNNNNNNNNNNNNNNNNNNNNNNNNNNNNNNNNNNNNNNNNNNNNNNNNNNNNNNNNNNNNNNNNNNNNNNNNNNNNNNNNNNNNNNNNNUCACCCCAGAACAUUGAAGUAGACAGCGACAGUGAAUCCGUUUUAACCCUUGAGCCCGAACAGGAAGAGCUGGAAGAAGAAGAGGUUACUGCUGCGGAUGACCUGUCACUUCUUGACCGAUUACAUAAUGGUGGCCUUCCACAUGUUCUUCGUAAUACUGAUGAUGAUGAUGCAUUUAUUGAUGAUAGUGAUGAUCAUGAUGCAUUUAUACACCCCAAAGAAUAUAUAGAAGAGGACGAUUGUUAUUAGUUCAUGUUAGGUAUNNNNNNNNNNNNNNNNNNNNNNNNNNNNNNNNNNNNNNNNNNNNNNNNNNNNNNNNNNNNNNNNNNNNNNNNNNNNNNNNNNNNNNNNNNNNNNNNNNNNNNNNNNNNNNNNNNNNNNNNNNNNNNNNNNNNNNNNNNNNNNNNNNNCAUGUUAGGUAUUCAACUAUUAUACUAUAUAUAAAUUUUGAGUUCAUGUUAGGUAUUCAAUCUUUAUUAGUCAUGUUGGUAUUUAUGACGAUGAUACACUUAAAUUAUAUACAUUUUAUUACUCCUGUUUGUAUUUAUGUUGUACUAAUUUCAUUUACUCUUUGUCAUGACAGGUGUUGAAAGAUGGUGGGAAAGGGUCGAAAGUACUCCGCGGCUGCUUCUUCGUCGGCGGGUGAUUGGAUGGGUACUUCCAUUCCUGCCUCGCCUCUUCGGAGAGUGUUGCUCUCUACUUUGCAAGGAGCACCCCCCGUGAGAGGAGGUCGACCCCCCGCGAAGCCGAGAGGCACUAAAGGUACACGUUGUAUUCAUGUUGGUAUUUAUGUUGUACUCGUGUUGUAUGCAUAUUGGUAUUUAUAUACAUUUUAUUACUCAUGUUGGUAUUUAUGUUGUACUAAAGGUACACGUGGCCGCGGGAGAGGUAGGGCUACACGGUCUCCGCCACCACCCCAAGCUGAUUCAGCUGAGCACAAGACUUCUAGGGUGGAUUCGUCUGAGGUGGAGGCUACACGGUCUCCGGUUCACGAGCCUCGGGUCGACGAGCCUUAGGUCGACGAGCCUUCGAUCCACGAGACUCCUGUCCCAGAGGCUUCCUUCCAGGCGACUCCGGAGCAAAGCAGGGAUGAGGGUACGUCCCAAGAGACCCAGUGGGAUACCUGGCCUGAGGCAAGUGGCCAUGCUGGUAGCGAUGAGGAGCUGGGUGAGGGGGCUACCGUCUACCAGCGUGGUAGUUCGGGGCUCCCGCUCGUGCCAACGACCCCCGAGAAGAGGUGGUCGAUUAGGCCAAAUGGGGACAAGUAAGUUAAUUUACUCUUAUUUAACCUUUUGCCUUCGCAUUUUCUCAAAUAUCUAAUGUUUUGGCUUUAAUUUGUCAUACUGUAGGGGUUGGAUUUUUGCCAAGGGUGUCCGCAAGCCCAACAGCGUCCUUGGUGUUCUUUGCCGUCAAAACUUCCCAGGGUUUGUUAUGUUGCCCGGUCGGGAGCGAGAGGUAGGAAUGACCUGGGAGCACUACUUGGGUGCCCCGGCCCCGCCGGAGGUGGAGAUCGACGGUGUUUUGUGUGACACGAGGGCGGACAUGGUGAUCCGAAAGUUCUGGGUAAUUUCUCUUUCACACAAUUAUAAAUCAACCAUAGCUAUUUAUUGUACAAAUCGGUGUUGUCUCGUUUGCAGACCUAUUACAGGUGUGAGGAGGGAUACGAGGAGGACGCGGCAAAGGUUAUCGAAACCGAAUGUCGCCGCCUACUUCAAAACUUUCGGCACGAGGCUCGGGUGCAGGCUGUUCGAGACUACUAUGCCACGCGGCGUAUUAGGCUUGACAAGGCGAAGUGCCGUGAUGCUAAGAUGGAGAAGGAGCAUUACAUGAAGGUAAUUACAUAUUAUUAAGGCUUUGUAGUUAGUUUCCUUGAUUUGGUUCUUACGCGCUCAAAUUUCUCUUUAUUAACUUAGGUGCCCCCGAGAUGGUGUGUGGAUAAGAUGGAUUGUUGGGAGGCCUUGGUGGAUCAGUGGUGCUUCGAAACGUGGGAGGCCAGCCACAACAAUGCCAAGGAGAGGCGUGGCAAAAUGGUUGGCAUGCCACACCAUCAAGGGGGCGUCAACUUAAUCCAAUUUGGCGAGAACUGGGUAUGUGGUUUGCUUCAUGCCUCAUGCAAUUCAUUCUUAAUGCUAUCUUGAGCCCUUUACCAAUACAAUUUUCCUCUCUCUCUUUUAGGCGCGUCACAAUAAGACGGAGGCGCCACAGAUGUACGACCUGUAUGCGAUGGCCCAUACUGCCUCGUACAAGAAGGUCAAGGCAUUCUCUGAGUCUGACCUCGAGCAUCCAGAAAACUUCACCAACAUCUCCUCCCACGACAAGCUCGUGAAGUACAGAGAUCACGGGAAGGCGAGGAAAGGGGAGGACUUUAACCAGAGCGAGGGGCCUAUUGAUCCAGAGCUGGUGAUGAUAGCUGGCAACGGGAGGCCCCAUGGCUCGAUCGCCAUUGGAGACGGCCUUAUACGUUGUCCUAGCUCUCUCCGGCAGAUAAAGGCACGCCAAACGAGCUCUUGUCCAGAGAUAACACGUCGUGCACGGCCAGUCGAGCUCGCCAUCGAGGUUAGUUUAAUGGACUCAAAUAUCUUUCCGCAUUAUGUUGUGCGUUGGAACCAAUAUGCUAACAAUGAGUUCUGUUGUAGGCUGCUAUUCAGAAAGAGAGAGAGGCAAUGCAGGCGGCUAUGGCGGAGAAGGAUAAGGAAAUUAGGGAGCUGGAGGAGAGGACGACUGCAUUGGUGGAGGCGGAGAGGGCACGGAAUGAUGCGUCUACCAGGGCCAUAUACAAGCUCUUCGUGGUAAGUUUCUUCUUCAUGUUAUUUCAAAUCUUGAAUUUGAAUGUCCGUUUCAUUAAUAAAUAAAAAGUUUGACUUGUCGAAACAAAAUGUACAGUCUAUAUGCGAGAAGAACGGCCAAGUCCCUCCGCCGAUGCCAGUCGUUAACGUGGCGGGGACGGUGAGUUUCAUUUCAGUGGAGUGAUCUUAAGAGUGUCCUCAUGCUAACUACACAUUGCAAACGAUGUUUGGUGCAGAAUAUGUCCCGAAACGCAUCGCACGACCCUUCUACAAUCGAGCCUUCUCCAGGGCACCCUUCUCCAGGUGAAACAAGCCAGAGCCACCGUGCUUUACCCUAACUUAGGUAUGUUAUUUCUAGUGUUUUAAUAAAAGAUAGCUAGAUGACAUAAUUAGCUUAGUUAGCUCCAAAAAGACCUAUUUAAUAAAAUAUAGCUAGAUGACAUAGUUAGCUUAGUUAGCUUAGUUACUUUAGUUAGCUUAGUUAGCUUAGUUAGCUUAGUUAGCUUAGUUAGCUUAAUUAGCUUAGUUAGCUUAGUUAGCUCCUCCUUCUCCUNNNNNNNNNNNNNNNNNNNNNNNNNNNNNNNNNNNNNNNNNNNNNNNNNNNNNNNNNNNNNNNNNNNNNNNNNNNNNNNNNNNNNNNNNNNNNNNNNNNNUAAAGUAGUACUUACUAAAAAUAAACUAGUUUAACUAUAGUUCUAUUAUUUUUCUAACUAAUUAUAUUAAACACUUUCUCUUCUUAUUUUUUCCUAUUUCCUCUAUUCUAAAUAUGAACAUAUUCAUAAAUGACCUUGAUCAUGCACAAUUUUCCUAUACAUACACAAUAUGAACAUAUACAUAAAUUGACAAAGAAAAUAUUAUGAACAAAAAAAUCAUAAAAUUCUAUGAACAAAAUUACAACAGAAAAAAAUCAUAAAAAUUCUAUGAACAGAAACAAAUCAUAAAAAUUUGACAUAUUCGAUCUUUGCAUAUAUAUGAACAUACAAAUAUGCAUAUUCAACAAUAAUAUCACCAAAAAAAUUCUUUUAACAGAAAAAAAAUCUUUGCUCACGGCGACGGUGUCGGGGAUGGCGACGGGCGACGGCGAGGUGCGGUGCGGGGCGGGGCGGCGCAGCGACGGUCAACGGUGAGGUGCGGCGCGGGCCGGGGCGGGGCGACGACGGGCAGGGGCCGGCGGCGUCGCGGGGCAUGGGGCGCGGGGNAGUUGAGAGGGUUACGACAAAAACUGGAUGCACUUCGUGUGCAAAAUGGACAUCCUCUUUCGAAGUAUCAGGUUUUCAUACAGAAACUCGUGUGUUACAAAGGGAUUUCAUUUUUUUGAACUUAUUGAACUCCAUAGUUUUUCUGUGUUCAAAAUGCACCAUUCAAAGCCACAUCAUCAAUUUACAACCCUUUCUGACUUCAUUUGUUAUUUUUCAUGCAUUUACUGAUUAUUUUGAGCUAUAAGACCAUGAAAUUGAAAAGCAUUUGAAAUGAACUAUGAAAAGGUUCCAAGUUGGCAUGGUAUCAUCAUUUCACCCACAUAGCAUGUGCGAGAANNNNNNNNNNNNNNNNNNNNNNNNNNNNNNNNNNNNNNNNNNNNNNNNNNNNNNNNNNNNNNNNNNNNNNNNNNNNNNNNNNNNNNNNNNNNNNNNNNNNNNNNNNNNNNNNNNNNNNNNNNNNNNNNNNNNNNNNNNNNNNNNNNNNNNNNNNNNNNNNNNNNNNNNNNNNNNNNNNNNNNNNNNNNNNNNNNNNNNNNNNNNNNAGGGUUACGGCAAAAAUUGGAUGCACUUCGUGUACAAAGCGGACAAUAUCUUUCGAAGUAUCAGGGUUUCAUACGGAAACUCGUCUAUUACAAAGGGAUUUCAUUUUUUUGAACUUAUUUGAACUCCAUAGCUUUUCUGUGUUCAAAAUGCACCAUUCAAAGCCACAUCUUCAAUUUACAACCCUUUUGACUUCAUUUGUUAUUUUUCAUGCAUUUACUAAUUAUUUUGAGCUAUAAGACCAUGAAAUUGGAAAGCAUUUGAAAUGAACUCUGAAAAGGUUCCAAGUNNNNAUGGUAUCAUCAUUUCACCAAAAUAGCAUGUGCGAGAANNNNNNNNNNNNNNNNNNNNNNNNNNNNNNNNNNNNNNNNNNNNNNNNNNNNNNNNNNNNNNNNNNNNNNNNNNNNNNNNNNNNNNNNNNNNNNNNNNNNNNNNNNNNNNNNNNNNNNNNNNNNNNNNNNNNNNNNNNNNNNNNNNNNNNNNNNNNNNNNNNNNNNNNNNNNNNNNNNNNNNNNNNNNNNNNNNNNNNNCGGCAAAAACUGGAUGGACUUGAUGUACAAAACGGACAAUCUCUUUCAAAGUAUGAGGGUUUCUUACGGAAACUCGUCUGUUACAAAGAGAUUUCAUUUUUUUCAACUUACUUGAACUCCAUAGUUUUUAUGUAUUCAAAAUGCACCAUUCAAAUCCACAUCAUCAAUUUACAACCCUUUCUGACUUCAUUUGUUAUUUUUCAUGCAUUUACUUAUUAUUUUGAGCUAUAAGACCAUGAAAUUGAAAAGCAUUUGAAAUGGACUCUGAAAAGGUUCCAAGUUGGCAUGGUAUCAUCAUUUCACCCACAUAGUAUGUGUGAGAAAGUUGAGAGGGNNNNNNNNNNNNNNNNNNNNNNNNNNNNNNNNNNNNNNNNNNNNNNNNNNNNNNNNNNNNNNNNNNNNNNNNNNNNNNNNNNNNNNNNNNNNNNNNNNNNAAGACAAUGAAGAAGAAGGAGGUGAAGAACAACCGGCAUCAGAUGAGCCCGCUGAUAGUCUUGGUCAGGUCAUUUCUGAUGCAAAGAGAGAAUGCGAUACAGAAAAGGAGAAGAUGAAGUUGGAGGCCAUGCUAAAGGAUCAUAAAAAGUUGUUGUACCCAAAUUGCAAAUAUGGCAGCACAAAGCUCGGUACCACACUGGAAUUGUUGAAAUGGAAGGCAGAAACUGGUUUAUCUGACAAGGGAUUUGAGAAGUUACUGAAAAUAUUGAAGCCGAAGCUUCCAAAGGAUAACGAAUUGCCCGAGACUACGUAUGAAGCAAAGAAGGCUAUUUGCCCUCUUGGAUUAGAUGUGCAUAACAUACAUGCAUGCAUUACUGACUGCAUCCUGUAUCACGGUGAGAAGUACGAGAAUAUGGAAAAAUGCCCGGUAUGCACUGCAAGUCGGUACAAGAUUAGGCAGGAUGACCCUUUUGAUGUUGAGGGAGAUGACGAGCCCCCCAGGAAGAAGGUUCCUGCUAAGUUUAUGUGGUAUGCUCCUANNNNNNNNNNNNNNNNNNNNNNNNNNNNNNNNNNNNNNNNNNNNNNNNNNNNNNNNNNNNNNNNNNNNNNNNNNNNNNNNNNNNNNNNNNNNNNNNNNNNNNNNNNNNNNNNNNNNNNNNNNNNNNNNNNNNNNNNNNNNNNNNNNNNNNAUGUGGUAUGCUCCUAUAAUACCACGGUGGAAACGUCUGUUCAGAAACAAUGAGCAUGCCAAGUUGAUGCGAUCGCACAAAGACGAGCGUAAGAAAGACGGGAAAAAGUUGAGACACCUUGCAGAUGGGUCGCAGUGGAGGAAAAUCGAGAGGGAGUGGCCGGACUUUGCAGAUGACCCAUGAAACUUAUGGCUUGGUCUAAGUAUAGACGACAUGAAUCCUUUUGGGGAGCAGAGCUGCAGUCACAGCACCUGGCCCGUGACUCUAUAUAUCUACAACCUUCCUCCUUGGUUGUGCAUGAAGCGGAAGUUCAUUAUGAUGCCAGUGCUCAUCCAAGGACCGAAGCAACCCGGCAACGACAUUGAUGUGUACCUAAGGCCAUUAGUUGAUGAACUUUUGCAGUUGUGAGCCAAACCAGGUGCACGUGUGUGGGAUGAGCACANNNNNNNNNNNNNNNNNNNNNNNNNNNNNNNNNNNNNNNNNNNNNNNNNNNNNNNNNNNNNNNNNNNNNNNNNNNNNNNNNNNNNNNNNNNNNNNNNNNNUACCGGGAAUGACGAAUGGGUUCCGGGAGUUCACCGGGGGGGCAACCCACCCCGGGGAAGCCCAUAGGCCUUGGGGGUGACACACCAGCCCUUAGUGGGCUGGUGGGACAGCCCAAAAGGGUCUAUGCGCCAAGGAGAAGAAAAUCAAGAGAGAAAAAAAGGAGGAGGUGGGAAGGAAGGGGGACUCCCUCCCACCAAACCUAGUCCAACUCGGUUUGGGGGGGAGAGUCCUCCCCCUUGGACUCGGCCGACCUCCUUGGGGCUCCUUGAGCCCCAAGGCAAGGUCCCCUCCCUCCCACCUAUAUAUACGGAGGUUUUAGGGCUGAUUUGAGACGACUUUUCCACGGCAGCCCGACCNNNNNNNNNNNNNNNNNNNNNNNNNNNNNNNNNNNNNNNNNNNNNNNNNNNNNNNNNNNNNNNNNNNNNNNNNNNNNNNNNNNNNNNNNNNNNNNNNNNNNNNNNNNNNNNNNNNNNNNNNNNNNNNNNNNNNNNNNNNNNNNNNNNNNNNNNNNNNNNNNNNNNNNNNNNNNNNNNNNNNNNNNNNNNNNNNNNNNNNNNNNNNNNNNNNNNNNNNNNNNNNNNNNNNNNNNNNNNNNNNNNNNNNNNNNNNNNNNNNNNNNNNNNNNNNNNNNNNNNNNNNNNNNNNNNNNNNNNNNNNNNNNNNNNNNNNNNNNNNNNNNNNNNNNNNNNNNNNNNNNNNNNNNNNNNNNNNNNNNNNNNNNNNNNNNNNNNNNNNNNNNNNNNNNNNNNNNNNNNNNNNNNNNNNNNNNNNNNNNNNNNNNNNNNNNNNNNNNNNNNNNNNNNNNNNNNNNNNNNNNNNNNNNNNNNNNNNNNNNNNNNNNNNNNNNNNNNNNNNNNNNNNNNNNNNNNNNNNNNNNNNNNNNNNNNNUUCGUGCGCGUAGGAAUUUUUUUGUUUCCCAUGCGACGUUCCCCAACAGUGGCAUCAUGAGCUAGGUUCAUGCGUAGAUGUCUUCUUGAGUAGAACACAAAAGUUUUUGUGGGCGGUGAUGUGCGUUUUGCUGCCCUCCUUAGUCUUUUCUUGAUUCCGCGGUAUUGUUGGAUUGAAGCGGCUUGGACCGNNNNNNNNNNNNNNNNNNNNNNNNNNNNNNNNNNNNNNNNNNNNNNNNNNNNNNNNNNNNNNNNNNNNNNNNNNNNNNNNNNNNNNNNNNNNNNNNNNNNUUGUAUCACAUACAAUGUUUGCUCAAGGAAACCGUCGAGGAAACAAUGUUUUGACAUCCUACGUGCAAUAUUUCAUAAAUAAUGCAGCAACUACUAACAUAAUUCUAACAGACUUUUAGCAUCGCUACGAGUGAGAAAGUCUCAUCAUAGUCAACUGUUUGAUCUUGUCGGAAACAUCUUUGCGACAAGUCGAGCUUUUCUUAAUAGUGACUUAUCACCAUCGUCGUCUGUCUUCCUUUUAAAGAUCCAUCUUUACUCAAUAGUCCUAUGACCAUCAAGUAGUUCUUCCAAAGUCUACACUUUGUUUUCAUACAUGGAUUCUCUCUCGGAUUUCAUGGCCUCCAGCCAUUUGUCGGAAUCCGGGCCCACCAUUGCUUUCUUCAUAACUCGUAGGUUCACUGUUGCUCAACAACAUGACCUCCAAGACAGGGUUACCGUACCACUCUGCAAUAGUACGCGACCUUGUCAACCUACGAGGCUGGUAGUAACUUGAUCUGAUGCUCGAUGAUCACCAUCAUCAGCUUUCACUUCAAUUGAUGUAGGCGCUACAAGAACAACUUCCUGCGCCCUGCUACACACUGGUUCAAGUGAUGGUUCAAUAACCUCAUCAAGUUCUACCACCCUCCCACUCAAUUCUUUCGAGAGAAACCUUUCCUCGAGAAAGGAUCCGUUUCUAGAAUCAAACACUUUGCUUCCGGAUCUGAGAUAGGAGAUGUACCCAACUGUUUUGGAUAUCCUAUGAAGAUGCAUUUAUCCGCUUUGGGUUCGAGCUUAUCGGACUGAAACUUUUUCACAUAAGUUUUGAAGCCCCAAACUUUCAAGAAACGACAGUUCAGAUUUCUCUAAACCUCAGUCUAUACUGUGUCAUCUCAACGGAAAUACGCGGUGCCCUAUUUAAAGUGAAUGCGGUUGUCUCUAAUGCAUAACCCAUAAACGAUAGUGGUAAUUCGAUAAGAGACAUCAUAGCAUGCACCAUACCAAAUAGUGCGUGGCUAUGACGUUCAGACACAUCAUCACACUAUGAUGUUCCAGGUGGCAUAAACUGCGAAACAAUUUCCACAUUGUCUUAACUGCGUACCAAAACUCGUAACUCAGAUAUUCAUUUCUAUGAUCAUAUCGUAGACAGUUUAUCCUCUUGUUACGACGAACUUCACUCUGAAACAGAAUUGAACUUUUCAAUAUUUCAGACUUGUGAUUCAUUAAGUAAAUACUCUAGUAUCUACUCAAAUCGUCAUUGAAGUAAGAACAUAAUGAUAUCCACUGCGUGCCUCAGCACCCAUUGGACUGUAUACAUCAAAAUGUAUCACUUCCAACAAGUUACUAUCUUGUUUCAUCUCAAUAAAAACAAGGCCUUGCUCAUGUGGUAUGAUUUGCAUGUCACCAGUGAUUCAAAAUCAAGUGAUUAUAAAGAUCCAUCAGCAUGGAGCCUCUUCAUGCAAUUUAUACCAACAUGACUCAAGCGGCAGUGCCACAAGUAAGUGGUACUAUCAUCAUUACCUCGUAUCUUUUGGCACCAAUAUCAUGAACAUGUGUAACACUACGAUCGAGAUUCAAUAAACCAUUGAAGGUGAUUAUUCAAGCAAAUAGAGUAACCAUUAUUCUCUUUAAAUGAAUAAUCGUAUUGCAAUAAACAUGAUCCAAUCAUGUUCAUGCUUAACGCAAGCACCAAAUAACAAUUAUUUAGGUUUAACACCAAUCCCGAUGGUAGAGGGAGCGUGCAACAUUUUGAUCAUAUCAAUCUUGGAAACACUUCCAACACGUAUCGUCACCUCUCCUUUAGCUAGUCUCCAUUUAUGUCGUAGCUAUCAUUUCGUGUUACUAAUCACUUAGUAACCGAACCGGUAUCCAAUACCCUCAUGCUACUAGGAGUACUAGUAAAGUACACAUCAUGUAUAUCAAAUAUACUUCUUUCGACUUUUGCCAGCCUACUUAUCUACCAAGUAUCAAGAGUUGCUCCGCCUCAGUGACUGUUCCCCUCAUUACAGAAGCACUUAGUCUCAGGUUUGGGUUUAAUCUUGGGUCUCUUCAUUAGUGCAGCAACUGUUUUGACGUUUCAUGAAGUAUCCCUUCUAGCCCUUGCCUUUCUCGAAACUUAGUGGUUUUACUAACCAUCAACUAUUGAUGCUCCUUUUUGAUUUCUACUUUCGCAGUGUCAAACAUCGCGAAUCACUCAAAGAUCAUUGUAUCUAUCCUUGAUAUGUUAUAGUUCAUCACGAAGCUCUCACAGCUUGGUGGCAGUGACUUUGGAGAACCAUCACUAUCUCAUCUGGAAGAUUAACUCCCACUUGAUUCAAGCGAUUGUCGUACUCAGAUAAUCUUAGCAAACGCUCAACGAUUGAGCUUUUCUCCUUUACUUUGUGGACAAAGAAUCUUGUUGGAGGUCUCGUACCUCUUAACAAGGGCACAAGCAUGAAAUCACAAUUUCAUCUCUUUAGAACAUCACUUAUGUUCCGUGACGUUUCAAAACGUUUUUGGUGCCUUGCUUCUAAGCCAUUAAGUAUUUUGCACUGAACUAUCGUGUAGUCAUCAGAAACGUGUAUGUCGAAUGUUCAUAGCAUCUACAGACGAUGCUCGAGGUGCAGCACACCGAGUGGUGCAUUAAGGACAUAAGCCUUCUGCGCAGCAACGUGGACAAUCCUCGGUUUUACAGACUUAGUCUGCAAAGUUUGCUACUAUCAACUUUCAACUAAAUUUUCUCUAGGAACAUAUAAAAAACAGUAGAGCUAUAGCGCAAGCUGCAUCGUAAUUCGCAAAGACCAUUAGACUAUCUUCAUGACAAUUAGUUCAAUUAAUCAUAUUACUUAAGAACUCCCACUCAAAAAGUACAUCUCUCUAGUCAUUUGAGUGGUACAUGAUCCAAAUCCACUAUCUCAAGUCCGAUCAUCACGUGAGUCGAGAAUAGUUUCAGUGGUAAGCAUCUCUAUGCUAAUCAUAUCAACUAUACGAUUCAUGCUCGACCUUUCGGUCUCAUGUGUUCCGAGGCCAUGUCUGCACAUGCUAGGCUCGUCAAGCUUAACCCGAGUGUUCCGCGUGUGCAACUGUUUUGCACCCGUUGUAUGUGAACGUUGAGUCUAUCACACCCGAUCAUCACGUGGUGUCUCGAAACGACGAACUGUAGCAACGGUGCACAGUCGGGGAGAACACAAUUUCGUCUCGAAAUUUUAGUGAGCGAUCACCUCAUAAAGCUACCAUCGUUCUAAGCAAAAUAAGGUGCAUAAAAGGAUUAACAUCACAUGCAAUUCAUAAGUGACAUGAUAUGGCCAUCAUCACGUGCUUCUUGAUCUCCAUCACCAAAGCACCGGCACGAUCUUCUUGUCACCGGCGCCACACCAUGAUCUCCAUCAACGUGUCGCCAUCGGGGUUGUCGUGCUACUCAUGCUAUUACUACUAAAGCUACGUCCUAGCAAAAUAGUAAACGCAUCUGCAAGCACAAACGUUAGUUUAAAGACAACCCUAUGGCUCCUGCCGGUUGCCGUACCAUCGACAUGCAAGUCGAUAUUAUCUAUUACAACAUGAUCAUCUCAUACAUCCAAUAUAUCACAUCACAUCGUUGGCCAUAUCACAUCACAAGCAUACCGUGCAAAAACAAGUUAGACGUCCUCUAAUUUUGUUAUUGCAUGUUUUACGUCGUGACCAUGGGUAUAUAGUAGGAUCGCAUCUAGCUCAUGAUGCCACUGUUGGGGAACGCCGCAUGGGAAACAAAAAAUUUCCUACGCGCACGAAGACCUAUCAUGGUGAUGUCCAUCUACGAGAGGGGAUAUUCGAUCUACGUAUCCUUGUAGAUCGCACAGCAGAAGCGUUAGUGAACGCAGUUGAUGUAGUGGAACGUCCUCACGUCCCUCGAUCCGCCCCGCGAACCGUCCCGCGAUCAGUCCCACGAUCUAGUGCCGAACGGACGGCACCUCCGCGUUCAGCACACGUACAGCUCGACGAUGAUCUCGGCCUUCUUGAUCCACCAAGAGAGACGGAGAGGUAGAUGAGUUCUCCGGCAACGUGACGGCGCUCCGGAGGUUGGUGAUCAUCCUGUCUCGGCAGGGCUCCGCCCGAGCUCCGCAGAAACGCGAUCUAGAGGUAAAACCGUGGAGAUAUGUGGUCGGGCUGCCGUGGCAAAGUUGUCUCAAAUCAGCCCUAAAACCUCCGUAUAUAUAGGGGGGAGAGGGGGAGCCUUGCCUUGGGGUCCAAGGACCCCCAAGGGGUUCGGCCGAGCCAAGGGGGGAGUCCUCCCCUUCCAAACCGAAUCCAACUAGGUUUGGAAGGAGGAGUCCUUCCCCUUUUUCCCACCUGCUCUUUUUUUUUCUAUUUGAUUUUCUUCCUAUGGCGCAUAGGGCCUUCUUGGGCUGUCCCACCAGCCCACUAAGGGCUGGUGCGCCACCCCCAAGGCCUAUGGGCUUCCCCGGGGUGGGUUGCCCCCCCNNNNNNNNNNNNNNNNNNNNNNNNNNNNNNNNNNNNNNNNNNNNNNNNNNNNNNNNNNNNNNNNNNNNNNNNNNNNNNNNNNNNNNNNNNNNNNNNNNNNAACUUAGAGAUCAUAGUUUCUUAUGCCAUGCUUACUUAGCUAGGAGCUUAUAAUGGCUUGUCUUGGUUGCCCACAUGAAUGUUGAGAUGACUAUGACGUAGUAUGAUAGGAUGGUAUCCUCCUUUGAAUGUUUCAAGUGGCUUGACUUGGCGCAUGUUCAUGCAUGUAGUUGAAACAAAAUCAACAUAUCCUCUAUGAUGUUCAUGUUCAUGGUGAUUUAUGUCCUACUCAUGCUUGCACUCAAUGUUAGUUAAUCUCAAUGCAUUUUGAUGACCGUUGUCAAUCUCUAGUUGGUCGCUUCCCAGUCUUUUGCUAGCCUUCACUUGUACUAAGCAGGACUACUGCUUGUGCAUCCACUUCCAUAAACCCAAAGUUGUGCCAUAUGAGUCCACCAUACCUACCUAUGUGCGGUAUCUACCUGCCGUUCCAAGUAAAUUUGCAUGUGCCAUUCUCUAAACCUUCAAGAAAUAAUCUAUUUUGCAUGCCCGAACCGCUCAUGUGGUGACAGGGGGCUAUUGGUAUCUUCCAUGCUAGCCGUGUUAUCCUUGAUAUGUGUUUAUUCACUAUCAUUCACGAGAAAGGGGCCGGUAAUUGGAAUUCCCAGUUCCAUGCUCAAAUCGAAAAGAUAUUUGCAAACAAAACUCCCCCAUGAUUGUUGUUGGUAUGGAUCGUACCCGAGGAUUCGGCUAGCCGUGGAGUGUGAUUGAUUGGUGGUGGGGGAGUCAAAAUUUUACUUUUCUAUUUGGGAACCGCCUAUAGCAUGUGUAGCGUGGAAGAUAUUGAGAACUCUUAGUCAUUGCGUUGACAAUGAAAGCAUGCCACCAAAAAUUAUUAUCUCUGUUUUCAAAGCUUGAGCUCUGGCACCUCUGCAAAUCAAUGCUUCCCUCUGCGAAGGGCAUGUCUAUUUAUGUUCCUGUUGAGUCAUCCUCCUCUUACAAAAGCAUCAAUUAGAGAGCACCUCUGUCAUUUUUAUGCUUUUCUUUUAACUGUGUUGAGUAUGACUAUGACUGGAUCUUCAUGGCCAUGAAUUACAAUGUUUAGUCAGCCCUUGGUCUUUGAAGGUGCUCUGCAUUUAUGUUUUGCGGUCUCAGAAAGAGGUAGCGAGAUACCAUAUAUUCAUACUGCUUCAUGUUGUUUUGAUUGAAGUGUUGAUAUUUGAGGCUUAUUAUUAUUUGCUCGCUAGUUGAUUAUGCCAUUGGUAUGAGUUUACCGUGAGACCUAGAUGUCAUUUCCUUGUGGUUUGCUUGUGAUGUUGCUGAAACUCUGGAUAUGAGUUACACAUAGUUGCAACAACAAGAUCAAACAAAGUUCGUCAAAGUUUUUCUUUUGUCUCUCUCAGUUUGUCAACUGAGUUGCUUGAGGACAAGAAAGGCUUUAAGCUUGGGGGAGUUGAUACGUCUCCNNNNNNNNNNNNNNNNNNNNNNNNNNNNNNNNNNNNNNNNNNNNNNNNNNNNNNNNNNNNNNNNNNNNNNNNNNNNNNNNNNNNNNNNNNNNNNNNNNNNCGUGGCAGCGGGGUCCUAAUGGAAACUACGGCAUAUUAAGGUUCUCCUUUUAAUAAAGAACCGGACCAACGCAUUAACACGCGGUGAAUACAUGAACUCCUCAUACUAUGGUCAUCUCCGGGAGUGGUUCUGGCUAAUGUCACUCCGGGGUUGCCGGGUCAUAACACAUAGUAGGUGACUACAACUUACAAGAUAGGAUCUAAAACACACAUAUAUUGGCGACAACAUAAUAGGUUCAGAUCUGAAAUCAUGGCACUCGGGCCCCUAGUGACAAGCAUUAAGCAUAGCCAAGUAGUAGCAACAUCAAUCUAGAACAUAGUGGAUACUAGGGAUCAAUCCCCGUCAAGAACUAACUCGAUUACAUGAUAGAUCUCAUCCAACUCAUCACAGUCCAACAAGCCUAUGAUGAGAUUACUCACGAACGAUGAAGAGCACCAUGGAAUUGUGGAUGGAGGAAGGUUGAUGAUGACGAUGGCGACGAUUUCCCCUCUCCGGAGCCCGAAACGGACUCCAGAUCUGCCCUCCAGAUGAAGAACAGGAUGUGGCGGCGCCUCCGUAUCGGAAAACGCGAUGAAACUUUCUCUCUGAUUUUUUUCCAGGCGAAACGUAAGAUAUAGAGCUGAGUUUGGGGGGGGGUGGUGCCACGUGGGCCCCACAAGCCUGCACGACGCGACCAUAGGGGGUGGCCACGGCCUGUGGGCUUGUGGCCCACUGGCACGCCCCCUCAGGUGGAUCUUUGCGCAGGUAUUUUUCUUUUAUUCCAGAAAAAAAUCUCCGUAAAAUUUCAGGACAUUCCGAGAACUUUUAUUUCUGCACAAAAACAACACCAUGGCAAUUCUGCUGAAAACAGCGUCAGUCCGAGUUAGUUCCAUGCAAAUCAUGCAAAUUCGAGUCCAAAACAAGGGCAAAAGAGUUCGGAAAAGUAGAUACGUUGGAGACGUAUCAACUCNNNNNNNNNNNNNNNNNNNNNNNNNNNNNNNNNNNNNNNNNNNNNNNNNNNNNNNNNNNNNNNNNNNNNNNNNNNNNNNNNNNNNNNNNNNNNNNNNNNNAUUGUAUGUGAUACAAUCAAGAGGUUUUGUCGAUCCUAAAGAUACUAGCAAGUAUGCAAGCUCCAGUGAUCCUUCAAUGGACUGGUGCAAGCAUCUCACAGUUGGAAUAUACACUUUCAUGAGAUGAUAAAAGAUUUUGGGUUUGUACAAGGUUUAUGAGAAACUUGUAUUUCCAAAGAAGUGAGUGGGAGCACUAUAGAAUUUCUGAUAAGUAUAUGUGGUUGACAUAUUAUGGAUCAGAAGUAAUGUAGAAUUUCUGUAAAAGCAUACAAGGUUGUUUGAAAGGAGUUUUUCAAAGGAAUACCUGGAUUGCGCUACUUGAACGUUGAGCAUGAAAGAUCUAUGGAGAUAGAUCGAAAGCGCUUAAUAGAAAGUUUUAACAAGAUGCAUACCUUGACAAGUUUUUUUUAAGGAGUUCAAAAUAUAUCAGCAAAGAAGGAGUUCUUGGUUGUGUUGUAAGGUGUGAAUUUGAGUAAGACUCAAAACCCGAUCCCGGCAGAAUAAAGAGAAUAGACGAAGGUCGUCUUCUAUGCCUUGGCCGUAGAAUCUGAAGUAUGCCAUGCUGUGUACCGCACCUGAUGUGUGCCUUGACUCAAAGUCUGUUGAGAGGUACAGAGAGUGAUCCAUGAUUGAAUCACUAGCAGCGGUCAAAAUUUAUCCUUAGUAACUGAUGGACUAAGGAAAUUUUCUCGAUUAUGGAGGUGGUUAAAGAGUUCGUCGUAAAGGGUUAUGUCGAUGCAAGCAACAUCUAUAAGAUGACAUAAAGAUUUGUAAAGAACACACGGAUCUGAAAGUUUCAGAACCGUUGACUAAAACCUUUCUCACGAACAAAACGUGAUCAGACCCCAUAACNNNNNNNNNNNNNNNNNNNNNNNNNNNNNNNNNNNNNNNNNNNNNNNNNNNNNNNNNNNNNNNNNNNNNNNNNNNNNNNNNNNNNNNNNNNNNNNNNNNNCUAUGAUCUCUAAGUUGUCAUUGCAAACAUGUUUCUCUCACAACAAAGCUGAAUCAGGCAUGAUGAGCUAGUCAUAUUAACAAAAACAAAAUAGAUCGAGUUCAUACCAGCUUUUCCAGGCUUAGUCACUUCAUCAUAUAUCGUCAUUAUUGCCUUUCACUUGCACGACCGAACGAUGUAAUAAUAAGCGUGCUCGUGCAUUGGACUAAAGCUGGAAUCUGUAGGCAAAGACAAAGGAGAAGACAAAGUAAUAUGGCUCUUUGAAAGCUAAACAUGUAUGCAUGCAAGAGCCACUCAACAGUGUAACCAAUAUCUUCUACCUUGACCCAAAGAAAAAGAAAACUAUCUACACGGGAAAGCUCCCAACAAGCAAAAGAAGAAAAAAGAAAAUCUUUUUGGUUUUUCUCAACUAGACAGACACACGAAAAGAAAACGAGAAAAAGAAAAUAAACUAGCAUGGAUGAUACAGUGGCAAAGUGUGAACACGGGCUAACAAAGUGAAAGCAUAAGCAAGAAUGUAAAGUCGGUGAGACACACGUACUCCUCCAAGCUUGGGCUUUUGGCCUAACUNNNNNNNNNNNNNNNNNNNNNNNNNNNNNNNNNNNNNNNNNNNNNNNNNNNNNNNNNNNNNNNNNNNNNNNNNNNNNNNNNNNNNNNNNNNNNNNNNNNNCCUCGGGGGUAGGGACACUCGCGGAGGCCGAAAGUGUCCUCGCGACCUCCCAUAUAUACCCCCACCGUGACACUCUCACGUAAUAACGAGCCAAGGCUGUAUACGCCUAGGGGCCCCCGAGGACACGGAGGGGUCCAUCCCACGCCUAGUGGCAGCCCUAUGCUCCGUGCUGGGGAGAAGACGAAGGCAAUCAACACAGUCCACCAAUGACUAUGCCCGCAGCUGGCAAGGAAACCCAUGUAGUCCACCAAUGACUAUGCCAGCGAGAGUGUGAUACGUCCAUUUUGCAUUAUGUUUUCAUGUGGAUAUUUAUCGCUUCUUGGGCUAUUAUUUCACUUCACGGUACAAUACUUAUGCCUUUUAUCUAUUAUUUUGCAAGGUUUACAUGAAGAGGGAGAAUGCCGGUAACUGGAACUCUGGCCUGAAAGUGGAGCAAAGUUGAGAUACCUAUUCUGCGCAACUCCAAACGCCGUAAAAAUCAACGAGGAUUUUUCUCCGGAUUUAUAAAAAAUAUUGGGCCGAAGAAAUGCCACAGGGGCGCGUGCAGGUGGCCACAAGCCUGCACGGUGCGGCCACCCCCCAGGCCGCGCCAUGAGGGCUUGUGGGCAGCCUGCUGGCCCACUAGCCCCCCUCUUUUGCUAUAUGAAGGGUUUCGUUCAGGAAAAAAAUCAGAGAUGAGCUUUUUUGUGGAUUCGCCGCCGCCACGAGGCGGAACUUGAGCAGAACCAAUCUAGAGCUUCGAUAGGACGAUCCUGCCGGGGAAACUUCCCUCCCGAAGGGGGAAAUCAUCGCCAUCGUCAUCACCAACACUCCUCUCAUCAGAGGGGACUCAUCACCAUCAACAUCUUCAUCAGCAGCAUCUCAUCUCCAAACCCUAGUUCAUCAGUUGUAACCAAUCUCCGUCUCGCGACUCCAAUUGGUACUUGUAAGGUUGCUAGUAGUGUUGAUUACUCUUUGUAGUUGAUGCUAGUUGGAUUACUUGGUGGAAGAGUUUAUGUUCAGAUCCUUGAUGAUACUCAUUACCUCUUUGGUCAUGAAUAUGAUUAUGCUUUGUGAGUACUUACUCUAGUUCCUGAGGACAUGGUAUAAGUCAUGCUAAUAGUAGUCAUGUGAAUUUGGUAUUCGUUCGAUAUUUUGAUGUGUUAUAUGUUGUUUUUCCUCUAGUGGCGUUAUGUGAACGUCGACUACAUAACAAUUCACCAUUAUUUGGGCCUAGAGGAAGGCAUUGGGAAGUAGUAAGUAGAUGAUGAGUUGCUAGAGUGACAGAAGCUUAAAACCUAGUUUAUGCGUUGCUUCGUAAGGGGUUGAUUUGGAUCCAUUAGUUUAAUGGUAUGGUUAGACUUCGUCUUAAUUCUUCUUUCGUAGUUGCGGAUGCUUGCGAGAGGGCUUAAUCGUAAGUGGGAUGCUUGUCCAACUAAGGGCAGUACCCAAGCGCUGGUCCACCCACAUAUCAAGCUAUCAAAGUAACGAACGUGAAUCAUAUGAACAUGAUGAAACUAGCAUGACAAAAAUUCCCGUGUGUCCUCGGGAGCGUUUUUCCUCCUAUAAGAUUUUGUCCAGGCUUGUCCCUUGCUACGAAAGGGAUUGGGCCACUUUGCUGCACCGUUGCUACUUUUGUUACUUGUUGCUCGCUACGAAUCAUCCCACCACACAAUCACUUGUUACCAACAAUUUCAGUGCUUGCAGAUAUUUCCUUGUUGAAAACCACUUGUCAGAUCCUUCAGCUCCUCGUUGGGUUCGACACUCUUACUUAUCUAAAGGACUACGAUUUAUCCCCUAUACUCGUCGGUCAUCAAGACUCUUUUCUAGUGCCAUUGCCGGGGAGUGAAGCGCCUUUGGUAAGUGGAACUUGGUAAGGAAACAUUCAUAUAGUGUGCUGAAAUUUAUUGUCACUUUUCACUAUGGAUACUAAUCCUUUGAGGGGCUUGUUCGGGGUAUAUUCACCUCGAGACGAAGCACAAAUAGUUUCUCCUCAACCUGCUGCACCCACUGAAAAUAUUUGCUUUGAAUUUCCUUUGGGUAUGCUUGAGAAACUGCUGGCUAAUCCUUUUACAAGAGAUGGAACAUCACAUCCAGACUUGCAUCUAAUAUAUGUAGAUGAAGUUUGUGGUUUAUUUAAGCUUGCAGGUUUGCCCGAGGAUGAGGUCAAGAAGAAGGUCUUUCCUUUAUCUUUGAAGGACAAGGCGUUGACAUGGUAUAGGCUAUGUGAUAAUACUAGAUCAUGGGACUACAAUCGGUUGAAAUUGGAAUUUCAUCAAAAGUUUUAUCCCAUGCAUUUAGUACAUCAUGAUUGGAAUUAUAUUUAUAAUUUUUGGCCUCGUGACAGAGCAAGCAUCGCUCAAGCUUGGGGGAGGCUUAAAUCAAUGUUAUAUUCAUGCGCCAAUCAUGAGCUCUCGAGAGAAAUUAUCAUUUAGAACUUGUAUGCCCGGCUUUCUCAUGAUGAUCGCACCAUGCUUGACACUUCUUGUACGGGUUCUUUUACGAAAAGAGAUAUUGACUUCAAAUGGAAUCUAUUGGAGAGAAUUAAACGCAACUCUAAAGAUUGGGAGCUUUAAGAAGGUAAGGAGUCAGGUAUGAAUUUCACGUUUGAUUGCGCUAAAUCCUUUGUUGAGACAAAUACCUUUAGUGAUUUUAGCGCUAAGUAUGGACUUGACUCUGAGAUAGUAGCUUCAUUGUGUGAAUCCUUUGCUGCUCAUAUUGAUCUCCCCAAAGAGAAGUGGUUUAAAUAUCACCCUCCUUUAGAAGUCAAUGUAGUUAAACCCACUCCAGUUGAAGAGAAAGUCAUUGCCUAUAAUGAUCCUAUUGUUCCCAGUGCUUACAUUGAGAAACCACCUUUCCCUGUUAGGAUAAAGGAUCAUUCUAAAGCUUCAACUGUGAUACGUAGAGGCUACAUUAGAACACCUACACCCCCUGAGCAAAUUAGAGUUGAACCUAGAAUUGCUAUUAUCAAAGAUCUUCUGUUCGAAGAUGUUGAGGGACAUAAUAUUCACUUCUAUGAAGAUGCUGCUAGAAUUGCUAAACCUCACGCUAGAGACAAACAUAGGCCUGUUGUUGGCAUGCCUGUUGUUUCUGUUAAGAUAGGAGAUCAUUGUUAUUAUGGCUUAUGUGACGUGGGUGCUAGUGUUAGUGCAAUACCUCAAUCCUUAUACGAUGAAAUCAAAGAUGAUAUUGCACCUAUUGAGAUAGAGCCCAUUGAUGUCACUAUUCAGCUUGCCAAUAGAGAUAUUAUCUGCCCUGUGGGAAUUGUUAGGGAUGUCGAAGUCUUGUGUGGUAAAACGAAGUAUCCUGCUGAUUUCCUCGUUCUUGCUACCGCACAAGAUAGCUUUUGUCCCAUCAUAUUUGGUAGACCUUUUCUCAAUACUGUCAAUGCUCAUAUUUAUUGUGAGAAGCAAACUAUCACUGUUGGCUUUGAAGGUGUGUCACAUGAGUUCAAUUUCUCUAAGUUUGGUAGACAACCUCAUGAAAAGGAGUUACCUAGUAGGGAUGAAACUAUUGCCUUAGCUUCUAUUGCCGUGCCUCCUACUGAUCCCUUAGAGCAAUACUUGCUUGACCAUGAAAAUGAUAUGCAUAUGGAUGAAAGGGAUGAGAUAGAUAGAGUUGUCUUAGAACAAUAUCCUAUCCUUAAGAAUAAUCUGCCUGUUGAACUGCUUGGGGAUCCACCCCCACCAAAGGGUGAUCCUAUGUUCGAGCUUAAAUAGUUGCAUGAUACUCUUAAGUAUGCUUAUCUUGAUGAAAAGGAGGUAUAUCUUGUUAUUAUUAGUGCUAGCCUCUCAGAGCAUGAAGAAAAUAAGUUACUAAAAACUUUGAGGAAGCACCGUGCUUCUAUUGGAUAUACUCUUGAUGAUCUUAAGGGCAUUAGUCCUACUCUAUAUCAACACAAGAUUAAAAUUGAUCCUGAUUUCAAACCAGUUGCUGAUCAUCAAAGGAGAUUAAAUCCUAAGAUGAAAGAAGUAGUGAGAAAAGAAAUACUAAAGCUCCUGGAAGCAGGUAUCAUCUAUCUUGUUGCUCAUAGUGAUUGGGUGAGUCCGGUGCAUUGCGUCCCUAAGAAGGGAGUCAUUACCGUUUUCCCUAAUGAUAAGGAUGAAUUGAUCCCACAGAGGAUUAUUACUGGCUAUAGGAUGGUGAUCUAUUUUAGGAAAUUUAAUAAAGCCAUUAGGAAAGAUCAUUACCCUUUGCCUUUGAUUGACCAAAUGCUAGAAAGACUGUCUAAACACACACACUUCUGCUUUCUAGACGGUUAUUCUGGUUUCUCCCAAAUACCAGUUGCACAAUCUGAUCAGGAGAAAACCACUUUCACCUGCCCUUUCGGUAACUUUGCUUACAGACGUAUGCCUUUUGGCUUAUGUAAUGCACCCGCCACCUUUCAAAGAUGUAUGAUGGCUAUAUUCUCUUACUUUUGUGAAAAGAUUGUCGAGGUUUUCAUGGAUGACUUCUCCGUUUAUGGGUCUUCCUUUGAUGAUUGCCUCAGCAACCUUGAUCGAGUCUUGCAGAGAUGUAAAGACACCAAUCUUGUCUUGAAUUGGGAGAAGUGCCACUUUAUGGUUAAUGAAGGCAUCGUCUUAGGACAUAAAAUUUCUGAAAGAGGUAUUGAAGUCGAUAAGGCUAAGGUUUAUGCAAUCGAGAAAAUGCCAUACCCACAGACAUCAAAGGUAUAAGAAGUUUCCUUGGUCAUGCUGGUUUCUAUAGAAGGUUCAUUAAAUACUUUUCUUAGAUUUCUAGGCCUCUUACAAAUCUCUUGCAAAAGGAUAUUCCUUUUUUCUUUGACGAUGAAUGUGAGGAAGCCUUCGAAAUACUUAAGAGGGCUUUGAUAACUACACCUAUUGUUCAACCACCUGAUUGGAACUUACCUUUUGAAAUCAUGUGUGAUGCUAGUGAUUAUGCUGUUGGCGCUGUUCUAGGGCAAAGAGUCGAUAAGAAGUUGAAUGUUAUUCACUAUGAUAGUAAUACUCUAGACAGUGCCCAAAGAAACUAUGCCACUACAGAGAAGGAAUUUUUAGCAGUCGUGUUUGCAUGUGAAAAGUUCAGGUCUUACAUAGUUGAUUCCAAAGUCAUUAUUCACACUGAUCACGCUGCUAUUAAGUACCUGAUGGAGAAGAAAGAUGCUAAACCUAGACUUAUCAAAUGCGUUCUCUUGCUACAAGAAUUUGACUUGCACGUUGUUGACAGAAAAGGUGCUGAUAACCCAGUAGCAGAUAACUUGUCUAGGUUGGAGAACGUCCUUGAUGACCCACAACCUAUUGAUGAUAGCUUUCCCAAUGAGCAAUUGAAUGUCAUCAAUGCUUCACGUAGUGCACCGUGGUAUACUGAUUAUGCAAACUAUAUCGUUGCCAAAUACAUACCACCUAGUUUCAUGUACCAGCAAAAGAAGAAAUUCUUCUUUGACUUGAGUCAUUACUUUUGGGAUGAUCCUCACCUUUAUAAGGAAGGAGUAGAUGGUGUUAUUAGACGUUCUGUACCUGAACAUGAACAGGGACAGAUCCUACAGAAAUGUCACUCCGAGCCCUACGGAGGACACCAUGCGGGAGAUAGAACUGCACACAAGGUAUUGCAAUCAGGUUUCUAUUGGCCCACUCUCUUCAAGGAUGCCCUUAAGUUUGUCUUAUCUUGUGACGAAUGUUAAAGAAUAGGUAAUAUUAGCAAACGUCAGGAAAUUCCUAUGAACUAUUCACCUGUCAUUGAACCAUUUGAUGUUUGGGGCUUUGAUUAUAUGGGACCUUUUCCAAAAUCCAAUGGGUAUACUCAUAUCCUAGUUGCGGUUGAUUACGUCACAAAGUGGGUAGAAGUUAUCCCCACUAGUAGUGCUGAUCACAACACCUCUAUCAGGAUGCUUCAGGAAGUUAUCUUCCCUAGAUUUGGAGUCCCUAGAUAUCUAAUGACCGACGGUGGUUCACAUUUCAUUCAUGGUGCUUUUCAUAAAACGCUUGCUAAGUACGAUGUCAACCAUAGAAUUGCGUCUCCCUAUCACCCUGAGUCUAGUGGUCAAGUAGAGCUAAGUAAUAGAGAGAUUAAACUGAUUCUGCAAAAGACUGUCAAUAGGUCUAGAAAGAAUUGGUCUUAGAAGCUCAAUGAUGCACUGUGGGCUUAUAGAGCUGCCUAUAAGAAUCCCAUGGGCAUGUCUCCUUACAAAAUGGUCUAUGGUAAAGCAUGUCAUUUACCUCUUGAGCUAGAGCAUAAAGCUUAUUGGGCAAUCAAAGAGCUCAACUUUGAUUUCAAGCUUACCGGUGAGAAGAGGUUAUUUGAUAUUCGCUCGCUUGAUGAGUGGAGAACUCAGGCAUAUGAGAAUGCCAAGCUGUUCAAAGAGAAGGUUAAGAGGUGGCAUGAUAAGAGGAUACAAAAGCGUGAGUUCAAUGUUGGUGAUUAUGUCUUGCUAUAUAACUAUCGUUUAAGAUUCUUUGGAGGCAAGCUUCUCUCUAAAUGGGAAGGUCCCUAUAUUGUUGAGGAAGUAUAUCGUUUCGGUGCUAUCAAGAUCAACAACAUAGAAGGUAAUUGUCUCAGAGUGGUAAAUGGGCAGAGAAUCAGCAUUAUAUCUCAGGUACUCCCAUAAAUGUUGAAAGCAAUAUUAUCAAUACGACAACUCUGGAAGAAUACCUAAGGGACAUUUAUUAGCCUGUUUUAGACUCCGAAAACGAAGAGGUAUGUGAUUCUGUAAGAAAUCAGAGUCCAAAACUUUUCCAGUAGGAAAUUUUCUCCGUUUUGAAAUAUUUAAAAAAAUACAAAAAUUGGAAGUAGUCCGGAAAGUGCGCGAGGAGGCGACAAGCCUGCAUGGCGCGGGCCCACCCCAUGGCCGCGCCGUGACGGCUUGUGGCUACCUCGUGCGUCUCUCGGACUCCGCUUUCGUGCGGGGUACUCCUUCUGGUCUGAAAAAAUCAUUAUAUAUACUCCCGUUUGGUCUGACCCCUCCAUCAUGCAGAUUUCCUCUGUUUUUCGUUUCGAGCCAGUUUUCUGCCGCAGAUUUAGGGCAAGAUGUCUUCUCAAGAUUCAGAGGGGGAGCGCUUUGUGGCAGAUUACCUCGGUAAUCCCAAGGUCUAUGGGGACUUGGAUCCCUAUGGCUGGACCACUGAUGAGGAAGAAGAUUAUGAUCUGAAGGGGAAGAAACAAACAAGUUUCGAUGAAGAGGAGGCUCCUCUAUCUCAACUUGGAGACACGCAUGUGGAGUUCAAGAAGUCGAGCCUCCCUGACUCAAGGAAGAAGCCUAAGACCUUGUUUAUCCCUUCUCGUUUCUUGCAGGAGAAUAAGAAGGAAUUAUGCCAAAGGGUGUUGAAGCUUGAAGAGGAAAAUGAUGAUCUGAGGGAGCGGAAUUUUAUGCUCAAGUGGAAAUUAAACAAGGUGAAGACCUCUGAAACAACUCCUCCACCUUCACCACCAAAGGAAGACAACUGAGCAUUGGUAUGGGUAAUCCCCUUGGCUUUUGCCAAGCUUGGGGGAGUUGCCCCGGUAUCGUAUCACCAUCACAUCUUUUGCCUUUACCUUUGUUUUAGUUUGUUCCUUUUCAGUUUUCUUUUCCUCUAGUAGAUUAAAAGUCUUUGUGUUUUAGUCUUGAGUUUUGCUUUGUGCCACCCCCGAUGUAUUCGAGGUCGUGAGCCAUAUAAUAAAGAGUGUCUUAGUUGAAGGGCUUAGCAUCUUGCCAUGAUCAAAAGAGUGAGAAUACAACAAAAACAUGAAAGAUCAUGUAAUGAUCUUAUGGGAAGUGAUGCCUUCACAUAUACAAAGAAUGAGGAUUGAAACUUGUUGAGGAUAGGCAAACGUAGACCUUGGUCAUGGUUGCAAUUAAUAGGAAGUGAUAAAGAAGGAGAGGUUCACAUAUAAAUAUAUCAUCUCUGAAACCAUCUUUGAUUGUGAACACUCACUAAACUAUUGCAUGCCUAGAAGUAGAUGUUGGACAAGGAAGACAACAUAAUGAAUUGUGUUUUCUUGGCUCCGAACAAUGUUAUAUGAUUAGAGAUCCCUUAGCAUGUGACGAUUGUUCCACCUCACAUUAACCAAACCUCCUGCACUAAGUUGAGAUACUACUUGUGCAUCCAUAAACCUUCAACCCAGUUUUGCCAAGUGAGUCCACCAUACCUACCUAUGGAUUGAAUAAGAUACCUCAAGUAAGUUUUCAUCGGUGCAAGCAAUAAAAAUUGCUCCCUAAUAUCUAUGAUCUAUUAGUGUGCUGAAAAUAAGCUUUGUACGAACCUGUGAUGAUGAAGACAUAAAAGCGACAGACUGCAUAAUAAAGUUCUUUAUCACAGGAGGCAAUAUAAAGUGACGUUCCUCCGCACUAAGAGGACACGCAUCCAAACCUCAAAAGCGCAUGACAACCUCUGCUUCCCUCUGUGAAGGGCCUAUCUUGUACCUUUACUUUUUGCCCUUGAAAGAGUCAUGGUGAUCUUCACCAAUUCCCUAUUUCGCCUUUGUCUUGGCUAACGUCAUAUGCUUGGGAAAUAUGUAUCUUCAUAUGUCAACUUGGAGGUAAGUAUUCAUGAAUUAUUAUUGUUGACAUUACCCUUGAGGUAAGUAGUUGGGAGGCAAAACUGUAAGCCCCUAUCUUUCUCUGUGUCCAGCUGAAACUUUGAUCUCAUGAGUACCAUGUGAGUUGUAGCAAUUGUAGAUAACGAAAGAAUGAUUGAGUAUGUGGAUUUGCUUUACAAGCUCUUAUUUGACUCUUCCUGAUGUUGUGAUAAAUUGCAAUUGCUUCAAUGACUAAAGGCUAUUGGUUGUUACUUCUCGGUAAGGUUCUUGUUCCAUGCUUUACUUUGUGAAGGAAUUAUCACUUUAGCAUGAGAGAUUAUAUGUUGGUAUUGUUGUUCUUAUCUUGAUCAUGAUGCAUGCAUGUUCGUAUCUUGUUUUGUCGACACCUCUCUCACUAAACAUGAGGACAAGCGAGGUCUAAGCUUGAGGGAGUUGAUACGUCCAUUUUUCAUCACGUUUUCAUGUGGAUAUUUUGUUGGGGAACGUCGCAUGGGAAACAAAAAAUUUCCUACGCGCACGAAGACCUAUCAUGGUGAUGUCCAUCUACGAGAGGGGAUGAGUGAUCUACGUACCCUUGUAGACCGUACAGCAGAAGCGUUAGUGAACGCGGUUGAUGUAGUGGAACGUCCUCACGUCCCUCGAUCCGCCCCGCGAACAAUCCCGCGAUCAGUCCCACGAUCUAGUACCGAACGGACGGCACCUCCGCGUUCAGCACACGUACAACUCGACGAUGAUCUCGGCCUUCUUGAUCCAGCAAGAGAGACGGAGAGGUAGAAGAGUUCUCCGGCAGCGUGACGGCGCUCCGGAGGUUGGUGAUGAUCUUGUCUCAGCAGGGCUCUGCCCGAGCUCCGCAGAAACGCGAUCUAGAGGAAAAACUAUGGAGGUAUGUGGUCGGGCAGCCGUGAGAAAGUCGUCUCAAAUCAGCCCUAAUACCUCCGUAUAUAUAGGUGGGAGGGGGAGGGAAGAGGCAGCCUCAAACCCUCAAGGGUUGGCCGAAAUUGGAGGUGGAGGAGUCCUACUCCAAUCCUACUUGGAGUAGGAUUCCACCUUCCCACUUGGAAACUCUUUCCACCUUGUGUUUUUUCCUUCUCAAACCUUAUGGGCCUUAGUGGGAACUUAUUCCAGCCCACUAGGGGCUGGUUUAUCUCUUCCCAUAGCCCAUGAGACCCCUUGGGGCGUGACACCCCUCCCGAUGGUCCCCGGCACCCCUCCCGGCACUCCCGGUACACUACCGAUGAGCCCGAAACUUUUCCGGUAAUGCACGAAAACCUUCCGGUAACCAAAUGAGGUCAUCCUAUAUAUCAAUCUUCGUUUCCGGACCAUUCCGGAAACCCUCGUGACGUCCGUGAUCUCAUCCGGGACUCCGAACAACAUUCGGUAACCAACCAUAUAACUCAAAUACGCAUAAAACAACGUCGAACCUUAAGUGUGCAGACCCUGCGGGUUCGAGAACUAUGUAGACAUGACCCGAGAGACUCCUCGGUCAAUAUCCAAUAGCGGGACCUGGAUGCCCAUAUUGGAUCCUACAUAUUCUACGAAGAUCUUAUCGUUUGAACCUCAGUAUCAAGGAUUCGUAUAAUCCCGUAUGUCAUUCCCUUUGUCCUUGGGUAUGUUACUUGCCCGAGAUUCGAUCGUCAGUAUCCGUAUACCUAUUUCAAUCUCGUUUACCGGCGAGUCUCUUUACUCAUUCUUUAAUACAAGAUCCCGCAACUUACACUAAGUUACAUUGCUUGCAAGGCUUGUGUGUGAUGUUGUAUUACCGAGUGGGCCCCGAGAUACCUCUCCGUCACACGGAGUGACAAAUCCCAGUCUUGAUCCAUACUAACUCAACUAACACCUUUGGAGAUACCUGUAGAGCACCUUUAUAGUCACCCAGUUAUGUUGCGACGUUUGAUACACACAAAGCAUUCCUCCGGUGUCAGUGAGUUAUAUGAUCUCAUGGUCAUAGGAAUAAAUACUUGACACGCAGAAAACAGUAGCAACAAAAUGACACGAUCAACAUGCUACGUCUAUUAGUUUGGGUCUAGUCCAUCACGUGAUUCUCCUAAUGACGUGAUCCAGUUAUCAAGCAACAACACCUUGUUCAUAAUCAGAAGACACUGACUAUCAUCGAUCAACUGGCUAGCCAACUAGAGGCAUGCUAGGGACGGUGUUUUGUCUAUGUAUCCAGACAUGUAAAUGAGUCUUCAUUCAAUACAAUUAUAGCAUGGAUAAUAAACGAUUAUCUGGAUACAGGAAUUAUAAUAAUAACUAUAUUUAUUAUUGCCUCUAGGGCACAAUUCCAACAGUCUCCCACUUGCACUAGAGUCAAUAAUCUAGCCCUCACAUCACCAUGUGAAUUACAUUGUAAUAAAUCUAACACCCAUACAGUUCUGGUGUCGAUCAUGUUUUGGCCGUGGAAGAGGUUUAGUCAGCGGGUCUGCUACAUUCAGAUCCGUGUGCACUUUGCAUAUAUUUACGUCCUCUUCCUCGACGUAGUCGCGGAUGAGGUUGAAGCGUCGUUUGAUGUGUCUGGUCUUCUUGUGAAACCGUGGUCCCUUUGCUAAGGCAAUGGCACCCGUGUUGUCACAGAACAAGUUUAUUGGAUUCAGUGCGCUUGGCACCACUCCAAGAUCCGUCAUGAACUGCUUCAUCCAGACACCCUCCUUAGCCGCCUCCGAGGCAGCCAUGUACUCCGCUUUACAUGUAGAAUCUGCUAUGACGCUUUGCUUGGAACUGCACCAGCUUACUGCUCCCCCAUUAAGAAUAAAUACGUAUCCGGUUUGCGACUUAGAGUCGUCCGGAUCUGUGUCAAAGCUUGCAUCGACGUAACCUUUUAUGGCGAGCUCUUCGUCACUUCCAUAUACGAGAAACAUCUCCUUAGUCCUUUUCAGGUACUUCAGGAUAUUCUUGACCGCUGUCCAGUGAUCCACUCCUGGAUUACUCUGGAACCUACCUGCCAUACUUAUGGCCAGGCUAACAUCCGGUCUAGUGCACAGCAUCGCAUACAUGAUAGAACCUAUGGCUGAAGCAUAGGGGAUGGAGCGCAUAUGCUCUCUAUCUUCAUCAGUUGCUGGGCACUGAGUCUUACUCAAUCUCGUACCUUGUAAAACUGGCAGGAACCCUUUCUUGGACUGUUCCAUUUUGAACCUCUUCAAAACUUUAUCAAGGUAUGUGCUUUGUGAAAGUCCUAUCAGGCGUUUUGAUCUAUCCCUAUAGAUCUUAAUGCCUAGAAUGUAAGCAGCUUCUCCUAGGUCCUUCAUAGAGAAAAUUUUAUUCAAGUAACCUUUUAUGCUCUCCAAAAGCUCUACGUUGUUUCCAAUCAGUAAUAUGUCAUCCACAUAUAAUAUUAGAAACGCCACAGAGCUCCCACUCACUUUCUUGUAAAUACAAGAUUCUCCAACCACUUGUAUAAACCCAAAUGCUUUGAUCACCUCAUCAAAGCGUUUGUUCCAACUCCGAGAUGCUUGCACCAGUCCAUAAAUGGAUCGCUAGAGCUUGCACACCUUGUUAGCAUUCUUAGGAUCGACAAAACCUUCGGGUUGUAUCAUAUACAACUCUUCCUUAAGGAAACCGUUAAGGAACGCCGUUUUGACAUCCAUCUGCCAGAUUUCAUAAUCGAAAAAUGCAACUAUUGCUAACAUGAUUCUGACGGACUUAAGCAUCGCUACGGGUGAGAAAGUCGCAUCGUAGUCAACUCCUGGAACUUGUGAAAAAAA
rnacentral:lncRNA from 1 species